AAUUAGUCGGUCAUUUUCAUUGACGGGAAAAGCAUGGCUCUCAAAUAUUUUAUCUCUCAAUUUUAGCUUUGAGCUUUGGCACCUCUACAAAUCUUUACUUCCCUCUGCGAAGGGCCUAUCUAUUUACUUUAUGGAAUUUUUUAUUUUUAUUUUUGAGUCCCCAUCUUCUCUUAUAAAGCACCAACUAGGAAGCACCAUGAUCGUACUUGAGCAUUGGAUGUAGCUAAUACUCGAGUGUGUUUCAUGAAUGGAUCAAUGAUUGAGCAUGAUGGGCUAGGGAUAAUUUUCUUUAGUGUUGAUAUUUUGAAAGGCAUGGCUGCUUGUUGAUAUGCUUGAGUAUUGAAGCCUUCAUGUCAAAACUAGACUAUUGCUUGGAACCAUCUAAAAGUCCAAAUGUCCAUGCUACAAAAGAAAAGAAUAUGUGAUGAACAUGUUAGACAACAUUCCACAUCAAAAAUUCUGUUUUUAUCAUUUACCCACGCGAGGACGGGCGAGAAUUAAGCUUGGGGCUGCUGAUGCGUCUCCAACGUAUCUAUAAUCUUUUAUUGUUCCAUCUUGUUAUAUUAUCAUUCUUGGAUGUUUUACAAUCAUACUAUAGCAACUUUAUAUCAUUUUUUGGGACUAACCUAUUGAAUUGUGCCCAGUGCUAGUUGCUAUUUUUCACUUGUUUUUUCACUUCACGGAAUAUCGGUACCCAACGGAGUCCAAACGCAGCAAAACUUUUUGGAGAUAUUUUUGGACCACAAGAAAACUUGGGAGCCAAGGAAGCACCUGGGGAAGGUACACCAGGGCGUACCAAAGGCCGCUGGCGCGUCCUGGUGUAUCAUGGGGCCCAUGGAGGUCUCCUCCACUGCCUCUCAACUCUAUAAAUACCCAAAUAUUCCAAAAACCCUAGGGGAUUCGACGAAACACAAUUCCAGUCGCCGCAAGUUCUAGAACCACGAGAUCCAAUCUAACACGAUCAUGGAGGGGUUCAUCAUCCUCAUUGGUGCCUCGCCGAUGAUGCGUGAGUAUUCCACCAUAGACCUACGGGUCCGUAGGCAGUAGCUAGAUGGCUUCUUCUCUCUUUUUGAUUCUCAAUACAAUGGUCUCUUGGAAAUCUAUUUUAUGUAAUGACUUUUUGCAGUGUGCUUGUUGGGAUCCGAUGAAGUUCGAGUUUAUGAUCAAAUCUAUAUCCAUGAAUAUUAUUUGAGUCUUAUUUGAUCUCUUAUAUGCAUGAUUAUUUGUAGGCUCGUAUUUCUUCUUCGAACCUUUGGUUAGUUAGGCCAAAUAGAUCAGUUUUUCUAGCCAUGGGAAGAGGUGGUUUGUGAUGGGUUCGAUCUUACGGUUCCCUCACCCAGUGAUAGCAGAGGUACCGAGGCAUGUACGUAUCGUUUCUAUUAAGGAUAACAAAAUGGGGUAUAUUCCUACAUGAAUAGAUGUUGUCUACAUCAUGUCAUCGUUCUUAUUACAUUACUUUGUUUCUCCAUGAACUUAAUGCACUAGAUGCAUGCUGGGUAGCAGUCGAUGUGUGGAGUAAUAGUACUAGAUGUAGAAUCGUUUUAGUCUACUAAUCUUGGACGUGAUGCUAUGUAUUUAUCAUUGCCUUGAAUAUCGUCAUAAUUAUUUGUUCUUCUAUCCAUUUCCCAAUAGUAAUUUGUUUAUCCACCGUAUGCUAUUUUCUCGAGAGAAGCCACUAGUGAAAUCUACGGCCCCGGGGUCUAUCUUUAUCAUAUUGCUUUCCGAUCUAUCUUUUACCGUAUUUGUUUUAAGUUCUAUUAUUCCAAAAGCCUGAAAAUACCUUGCUGCACUUUUCAUUUGCAUCUUUUAUUUCAUGUUUUAUUCAGAUCUAUUUAUCCAAACUCAUACUAUUUAAUCUAUCUUUUACCGAGGAGGGAUUGACACCCCCUCUUACGUGUUGGGUUGCGAGGAUUUCUUCUUUGUGUGCAGGUACCGUUUAUAGAGUGUUGCUUGGCUCUCCUACUAGUUUGAUAACCUUGGUUUCAUAACAGGGGGAAAUACUUGUCGUAGCUAUGCUGCAUCAUCCCUUCCACCUUGGGGGAAAAACCAACGCAGUUCAAGCCACAUCAAGGUACACUAGGAUCUCGGGGGAAUCAGUCAGAACCUGAGAAAUUGGAGUAGAAAAGAAUUUGGUUAUGUGAAGAAGCAACCGCGAGAGCUCCGUGAUAAGCUGGAUGGGCUGAGAUCUAGCUCUCUCUGUACUGGACCAACACAAGAGGAAAAGAAUAGCAUGCAUAAAGUUUAGAAUAGCAUGCAUAAAGGUCACACCCGGUGUUUUUGUAACAUGUCACUUGCAUUAAUAAAACAUGAAAAUUUAGACCAACAAAAACUUUUGCAUUACUUGGUUUUCUAUUUGGUUUGGAUAUUUGCUUACGGUUUCAAGUGCUCCUGAAAGUCAUAUCAUAGCUUCACGACAUAUACUUCAUCUUCUUGACCCAAGGUUGCUUCCCCUGACCAUGCCAUGUGUAUAGGGCGGAAUGGAAUUUUCUUACAAAAAUAAUUUGGCCCAAAAGGAUUUUUUUAAUUAGGUUUUCCCAAAACCCCUUAAUUGAGGUUUACACAUCAAAUACUUAAUUAAGGGCGGUAAAAAUCUUUCAAAAGAUGUAUUUGACUCCUAUUAGAUAUAGGACACCCAAAAACCACAAAAUAAUAAUUCUAAAUGUUAUUUUGCUAUUUUAUUUAAAGGCUUUUUCUUAAGUCAAAAAAUGGUCUUUAAUAGGUUAAAACUAUUUCAAAGCUUCAAAGAUAUUUGAGAAAAUUUAGGGAAACUCAGUGGACAUAUAUUUUCCAUAUAUAUGAGUUUCAACACAUGGUCAUGUUCAAAAUGUUGGACAGAACACUGCAAAACCAUUUCUGUUCAUUUCAAGAAUUUGAGAUAUUUCUAUAAGAAAUAUUUUCAACUAAAUCCAAGAAAAUUCUAGCAUGUGAUGAUCUUGCAAAUUUUCAUCUCAAUCAAAAUCAUUUUGGUUCACAAAAGUGCCCUAAAACCAUUUCUGUCUAGAACCAAACUUGGACAACUUUACAUUGUCAACUUUUUCUUUUGCUCUCAAACUUUGUGGACAUGCUCUAACCUCUAAAUACUGACACUACACCAGUGGUGCACCAAGGAGAAGAGUUUAGCUUAUCUAGAUAUAAGCAAGUCCAUUUCUGUUGAUUUCUAGGGUUUACAAAAGUUACAUUGGCCACUUUCUCCAUUUAACCUCAAAAUUGGUGGGCACAACUAAUUUGUCCUGCCACUCACUCUUGUUAAACCUCAAAUAAAUAUGAGCUAUCUAGAUAUCUCAGACCACCAUCAAACAUCUUUUGACGGAAACUCAAAAUCCAUGUUUAGGCCCCUUCCACUGACCUCCUUGGGUUGAUAUUUUUACCACAACCCCUCCUAGUCCCCCUCUAGCACAUGUAUGCUUUUCUGCCCGAGGAGCAAUGAUGAAGGGGGAGAACCCCAUUUUUCUUCUCUGGACAGUGGAUUCCUCCCUCUCUCUCUCUCUCAGCCUCCUUCUCUCCCCUCAACUUUCCAGAGCAUCCAAGGCUCCCCAAGACAUUUGCCCACACCUCCUGCAGCCUCCAGACAAAAGUGGAUGCGUGAGGACGCGAGAAAGCCGCGGAUGCAAGCCAAAGUUGCGCUCUGGAGCGCCUGGCAGGGCACCCGACUGUUGACGCCGCGUCCACCGACCGCCUCGAGCCUCCCCCGCACGCCAGUCGACGCCCCUCGACAUCCGAUCCACGCCAGCAGGCCGCCCACUUGCUCAUGUGCCCUCCUUUCUCUCCCGCAGCUCGUGCCAAAGCACCGCCCCGCUCGUCCAAUGCUUGUGCCGCUCCUGUGGCCCGCCAAAGCUCGUCUUGCUCCCCUUCUCUCUCUCCAUGGCACCCUAGACCACCCCACGAACACCCCCGAGCCCGCCUUUCCCUCUCUAACAGCCACCAGAGCCGACCCCGUGGGCAUCUGUAGGCCGCGCCUAUGGUGGACCUUGGCCAGCCCGUAUAAGGCCACCCCGAGCCUUUCUCUCGCUCCCUAUCGCUCCACCCCCACCCCCCCACACACACACUCCCAAUCCACCUCCCGCUCCAAAAAUCUUUCUCCAGUAGAGCCUGAGCUCGAGAUCAAGCUCGAGCUCUGCCACCUUGGGUCACCAGCGUGUCGCCAGCGUCCGAGCGGUAUAGGCCCCCUCCACCCCCGUUCUCUCUUGAUCUGGAACCGCACGACAUCAUUGAACCUUUCCCCUCUCUUCCUUGCUUCUUUUGCAGCCGGAAACACCUGAAACAACCGCUGCCCGAAGCUCCUCCGCCACAUGACCUCGUCGCCGGUGAACCAGGCCACUCCGGCGACCGCCUCCAUCACCACCCGAACGGUGACACGACAUUGAGUCCAGUCGUGCCCUCGCCCGACCUCGCUGUGCCUCUUAUCGCCGUCGAUGAGCUCGUCGGCCUCUCUGUCGCGAGGUUAGAGAUGACAGGUGGAGCCCACCUAUCAUCCUCACCUCUCCCUCACCCCCUCUCUCCCACUGGCAGCAGGCCCCACCUGUUAGGUUUAAAAACCUGGCACGCGCGUGCCGGCUCGUCUGGGCCAUUUCCUUUCUGGGCCUGCUGCGCUGCAGCUAUUCUGGCCCAGUAAGCACAGUGCCCUCUUCCUUUUUCUUUUUUUGUGCAACUUGCAAAAAAUCCAAAGGAUAAAAUGUUGGGGAACGUAGCAGAAAUUCAAAAAUUUCCUACGUGUCACCAAGAUCUAUCUAUAGAGAGACCAGCAACGAGUAGAAAGAGAGUGCAUCUACAUACCCUUGUAGAUCACUAAGCGGAAGCGUUCAAGUGAACGGGGAUGAUGGAGUCGUACUCGUCGUGAUUAAAAUCACCGAUGAUCAAGUGCCGAACGCACGGCACCUCCGCGUUCAACACACGUACAGCCCGGUGACGUCUCCCAAGCCUUGAUCCAGCAAGGAGAGAGGGAGAGGUUGAAGAAGACUCCAUCCAGCAGCAGCACAACGGCGUGGUGGUGGUGGAGGAGCGUGGCAAUCCUGCAGGGCUUCGCCAAGCACCGCGGGAGAGGAGGAGUACUUGUGAGAGGGGGAGGGCUGCGCCAGAACUUCGUGUAUAGCUCCCAUGCGCCUCCCCACUAUAUAUAGGGGUGGAGGGGCUGGUUUCUUGCCCUCCAAGUCCAUUGGGGCGUUGGCCAAGGUGGGAGGAAAGAAAUCUCAUUAUUUCCUUCCCCACCGAUUGUUAUCCCCCCUUUUUAGGGAUCUUGAUCUUAUCCCUUCGGGAUAUGAUCUUAUUCCUUCUAAGGGGGAUCUUGGUGCGCCUUGACCAGGGGUGUGGGGCCUUGCCCCCACUACCCACGUCCAUGUGGGUCCCCCCAUGCAGGUGGGCCCCACUCCGGAACCUUCUAGAACCUUCCCGGUACAAUACCGAAAAAUCCCGAACAUUUUCCGGUGGCCAAAAUAGGACUUCCCAUAUAUAAAUCUUUACCUCCGGACCAUUCCGGAACUCCUCGUGACGUCCGGGAUCUCAUCCGGGACUCCGAACAACAUUCGGUAACCACAUACAAACUUCCUUUAUAACCCUAGCGUCAUCGAACCUUAAGUGUGUAGACCCUACGGGUUCGGGAGACAUGUAGACAUGACCGAGACGUUCUCCGGUCAAUAACCAACAGCGGGAUCUGGAUACCCAUCAUGGCUCCCACAUGUUCCACAAUGAUCUCAUCGGAUGAACCACGAUGUCAAGGACUUAAUCAAUCCCGUAUUCAAUUCCCUUUGUCUAUCCGUAUGUUACUUGCCCGAGAUUCGAUCGUCGGUAUCCAAUACCUUGUUCAAUCUCGUUACCGGCAAGUCACUUUACUCGUUCUGUAACACAUCAUCCCGUGAUCAACUCCUUGGUCACAUUGCGCAUAUGAUGAUGUCCUACCGAGUGGGCCCAGAGAUACCUCUCCGUUUACAUGGAGUGACAAAUCCCGGUCUCGAUCCGCAUAAAACAAUAGAUACUUUCGGAGAUACCUGUAGUGCACCUUUAUAGUCACCCAGUUACGUUGUGACGUUUGAUACACCCAAAGCACUCCUACGGUAUCCAGGAGUUACACGCUCUCAUGGUCGAAGGAAGAGAUACUUGACAUUGGCAAAGCUCUAGCAAAUGAACUACCCGAUCUUUUGUGCUAGUCUUAGGAUUGGGUCUUGUCCAUCACAUCAUUCUCCUAAUGAUGUGAUCCCGUUAUCAACGACAUCCAAUGUCCAUAGCCAGGAAACCAUGACUAUCUGUUGAUCACAACGAGCUAGUCAACUAGAGGCUCACUAGGGACAUAUUGUGGUCUAUGUAUUCACACGUGUAUUACGAUUUCCGGAUAAUACAGUUAUAGCAUGAAUAAAAGACAAUUAUCAUGAACAAGGAAAUAUAAUAAUAAUACUUUUAUUAUUGCCUCUAGGGCAUAUUUCCAACAGUCUCCCACUUGCACUAGAGUCAAUAAUCUAGUUCACAUCGCCAUGUGAUUAACACUCACAGGUCACAUCGCCAUGUGACUAAUACCCAAGAGUUUACUAGAGUCAGUAGUCUAGUUCACAUCACUAUGUGAUUAACACUCAAUGAGUUUUAUGUUUGAUCAUGUUGCUUGUGAGAGAGGUUUUAGUCAACGGGUCCGAACCUUUCAAAUCCGUGUGUGUUUUACAAAUCUCUAUGUCAUCUCCUAGAUGUAGCUACCACGCUCUAUUUGGAGCUAAUCCAAAUAACUGUUCUACUUGGAGCUAUUCUAAAUUGUUGCUCCAUUAUAUGUAUCCGGUAUCUCUACUCAGAGCUAUCCGGAUAGGUGUCAAGCUUGCAUCGACGUAACCCUUUACGACGAACUCUUUUACCACCUCCAUAAUCGAGAAAAAUUCCUUAGUCCACUAAUUUCUAAGGAUAACUUUGACCGCUGUCCUGUGAUCCAUUCUUGGAUCACUCUUGUACCCCUUGACUGACUCAUGGCAAGGCACACUUCAGGUGCGGUACUCAGCAUGGCAUACUGUAGAGCCUACGUCUAAAGUAUAGGGGACGACCUUCGUCCUUUCUCUCUUUUCUUCCGUGGUCGAGCUUUAAGUCCUAACUUCGUACCUUACAACUGAGGCAAGAACUCCUUCUUUGACUGGUCCAUCUUGAACACCUUCAAGAUCAUGUCAAGGUAUGCGCUCAUUUGAAAGUAUUAUUAAGCAUUUUGAUCUAUCCUUAUAGAUCUUGAUGCUCAAUGUUCAAGUAGCUUAAUCCAGGCUUUCCAUUGAAAAACACUUUCAAAAUAACCCUAUAUGCUUUCCAGAAAUUCUACAUCAUUUCUGAUCAACAAUAUGUCAACAACAUAUACUCAUCAGAAAUUCUAUAGUGCUCCCACUCACUUCUUUGGAAAUACAAGUUUCUCAUAAACUUUGUACAAACCCAAAAUCUUUGAUCAUCAUCAAAGCACACAUUCCAACUCCGAGAUGCUCACUCCAGUCCUUAGAAGGAUUGCUGGAGCUUUGCAUACUUAUUAGCAUCUUUUGGGAUUGACAAAACCUUCCGGUUGUAUCACAUACAACCUUUCCUCAUUAAAAUCGUCGAGGAAACAAUGUUUUGACAUCCUAUCUGCAAGAUUUCAUAAAUAAUGCAGUAAUCGCUAAUAUAAUUCCAACAGACUCUUAGCAUCGCUACGAGUGAGAAAGUCUCACCGUAGUCAACUCCUUGAACUUGUCAGAAAACAUCUUAACGACAAGUUGAGCUUUCUUAAUGGUGACAUUUACCAUUAUCGUCCGUCUUCCUUUUAAAAUCCAUAUGUACCUAACAGCCUUACGACCAUCAAGUAGUUCUUCCAAAGUCUACACUUUGUUUUCGUACAUGGAUCCUCUCUCGGAUUUUAUGGCCUUGAGCCAUUUAUCGGAAUCCAGGCCCACCAUCGCUUCUCCAUAGCGUGUAGGUUCAUUGUUGUCUAGCAACAUGACUUCCAAGACAGGAUUACGUACCACUCUGAAGUAGUACGCAUCCUUGUCAUCCUACGAGGUUUGGGAGUGACUUGAUCCGAAGUCUCAUGAUCAAUAUCAUAAGCUUCCACUUCAAUUGGUGUAGGUGACACAGGAACAACUUCCUGUGCCCUGCUACACACUGGUUGAAGUGAUGGUUCAAGGACCUCAUCAAGUCUCCACCAUCCUCCCACUCAACUUUUCGAGACAAACUUUUCCUCGAGAAAGGACCCGAUUCAAGAAACAAUCCCUUAUUGCUUUCGGAUCUGAGACAGGAGGUAUACCCAACUGUUUUGGGUGUCCUAUGAAGAUGCAUUUUAUCCGCUUUGGGUUCGAGCUUAUCAAUCCUGAAACUUUUUCAUAUAAGCGUCGCAGCCCCAAACCUUUAAGAAACAACAACUUAGGUUUCUCUAAACCAUAAUUCAUACGGUGUCAUCUCAACGGAAUUACAUGGUGCCCUAUUUAAAGUGAAUGUGGUUGUCUCUAAUGCCUAACCCAUGAACGAUAGUGGUAAUUCGAUAAGAGACAUCAUGGUAUGCACCAUAUCCAAUAGGGUGCAACUAUGAUGUUCGGACACACCAUCACAUUAUGGUGUUCCAGGCGGUAUUAAUUGCGAAACAAUUUCCACAAUGUCUUAAUUGUGUGCCAAAACUCGUAACUCAGAUAUUCAUCUCUAUGAUCAUAUCAUAGACAUUUUAUCCUCUUGUCACAAUGAUCUGCUACUUCACUCUGAAAUUACUUGAACCAUUCAAUAAUUCAGACUUGUGUCUCAUCAAGUAAAUAUACUCAACAUUUACUCGAAUCAUCUGUGAAGUAAGAACAUAAUGAUAUUCACUGCAUGCCUCGGCACUCAUUCGACUGCACACAUCAAAAUGUGUUACUUCCAACAAGUUGCUAUCUUGUUCCAUCUUACUGAAAAUGAGGCUUUUCAGUCAUCUUGCCCAUGUGGUAUGAUUUGCAUAUCUCAAGUGAUUCAAAAUCAAGUGAGUCUGAACGAUCCAUUUGCAUGGAGUUUCUUCAUGCAUAUCCACCAAUAGACAUGGUUCGCAUGUCUCAAACUUUUCAAAAACGAGUGAGUCCAAAGAUCCAUCAACAUGGAGCUUCUUCAUGCGUUUUAUACCAUUAUGACUUACAUGGCAGUGCCACAAGUAAGUGGUACUAUCAUUACUAUCUUAUAUCUUUUGGCCUGAAAAUGUGUAUCACUACGACCGAGAUUCAAUAAACCAUUCCUUUAGGUGCAAGACCAUUGAAGGUAUUAUUCAAAAAUAGAGUAACCAUUAUUCUCCUUAAAUGAAUAACCGUAUUGCGAUAGACAUAAUCCAAUCAUGUCUAUGCUCAACGCAAACACCAAUCUCGGUGGUAGAGGGAGCGUGCGAUGCUUGAUCAUAUCAACCUUGGAAACACUUCCAACAUAUAUCGUCAGCUCACCUUUAGCUAGUCUCCGUUUAUUCCGUAGCUUUUAUUUCGAGUUACUAACACUUAGCAACCGAACCAGUAUCCAAUACCCUGGUGCUACUAGGAUUACUAGUAAAGUACACAUUAACAUAAUGUAUAUCCAAUAUACUUCUAUCGACCUUGCCAGCCUUCUCAUCUACCAAGUAUCUAGGGUAAUGCUGCUCCAGUGGUUGUUCCCCUUAUUACAGAAGCACUUAGUCUCGGGUUUGGGUUCAACCUUGGGUUUCUUCACUAGAGCAGCAGCUGAAUUACCGUUUCAUGAAGUAUCCCUUUGUUCCCUUGCCCUUCUUGAAACUAGUGGUUUCACCAACCAUCAACAAUUGAUGCUCCUUCUUGAUUUCUACUUUCGCGGUGUCAAACAUCAUGAAUAUUUCAAGGAUCAUCAUAUCUAUCCCUGAUAUGUUAUAGUUAAUCACGAAGCUCUAGCAGCUUGGUGGCAAUGACUUUGGGGAAACAUCACUAUCUCAUCUGGAGGAUCAACUCCCACUCGAUUCAAGUGAUUGUUGUGCUCAGACAAUCUGAGCACAAGCUCAACGAUUGACCUUUUCUCCCUUAGUUUGCAGGCUAAGAAAAUCGUCGGAGGUCUUAUACCUCUUGACGUGGGCACGAGCCUGAAAUCCUAAUUUCAGCCCUCGAAACAUCUCAUAUGUUCCGCGACGUUUCGAAAACGUCUUUGGUGCCUCUACUUAAACCAUUUAAUUGAACUAUCACGUAGUUAUCAAAACGUGUAUGUCCGAUGUUCGCAACAUCGACAAACGACGUUGGGGUUCAGCACACUGAGCGGUGCAUUAAGGACAUAAGCUUUCUACUGAUCGCAUAAUCGCUACUAUCAACUUUCAACUAUAUUUUCUCUAGGAACAUAUCUAAACAGUGGAACUAAAGCGCGAGCUUACGACAUAAUUUGCAAAAGGUCUUUUGACUAUGUUCAGGAUAAUUAAGUUCAUCUUAUGAACUCCCACUUAGAUAGACAUCCCUCUGGUCAUCUAAGUGAUCACAUGAUCCGAGUCAACUAGGCCGUGUCCGAUCAUCACGUGAGACGGACUAGUCAUCAUCGAUGAACAUCUUCAUGUUGAUCGUAUCCACCAUAUGACUCAUGCUCGACCUUUCGGUCUCCGUGUUCCGAGGCCAUGUCUGCACAUGCUAGGCUCGUCAAGUUAACCCUAAGUGUUUUUGCUGUGUAAAACUGUCUUACACCCGUUGUAUGUGAACGUAAGAAUCCAUCACACCCGAUCAUCACGUGGUGCUUAGAAGCGAUGAACUGUAGCAACGGUGCACAGUUAGGGGAGAACACUUCUUGAAAUUUUGUAAGGGAUCAUCUUAUUUACUACCGUCGUCCUAAGCAAACAAGAUGCAUAAACAUGAUAAACAUCACAUGCAAUCAAAUAGUGACAUGAUAUGGUCAAUAUCAUUUUGCUCCUUUUGAUCUUCAUCUUCGGGGCUCCAUGAUCAUCAUCGUCACCGGCACGACACCAUGAUCUCCAUCAUCAUGAUCUCCAUCAUCGUGUCUUCAUGAAGUUGUCACGCCAACGACUACUUCUACUUCUAUGACUAACGCGUUUAGCAAUAAAGUAAAGUAGUUUACAUGGCGUUCUUCAAUGACACGCAGGUCAUACAAUAAAUAAAGACAACUCCUAUGGCUCCUGCCGGUUGUCAUACUCAUCGACAUGCAAGUCGUGAAUCCUAUUACAAGAACAUGAUCAAUCUCAUACAUCACAUAUCAUUCAUCACAUUCUUCUUGGCCAUAUCACAUCACAUAGCAUACCCUGCAAAAACAAGUUAGACGUCCUCUAAUUGUUGUUGCAUGUUUUACGUGGCUGCUAUGAGUUUCUAGCAAGAACGUUUCUUACCUACGCAAGACCACAACGUGAUAUGCCAAUUGAUAUUUACCCUUCAUAAGGACCCUUUUCAUCGAAUCCGUUCCGACUAAAGUGGGAGAGACUGGCACCCGCUAGCCACCUUAUGCACCAAGUGCAUGUCAAUCGGUGGAACCUGUCUCACGUAAGAGUACAUGUAAGGUCGGUCCGGGCCGCUUCAUCCCACAAUACCGUCGAAACAAGAUUGGACUAGUAACGGUAAGCAUAUUGAACAACAUCAACGCCCACAACUACUUUGUGUUCUACUCGUGCAAAGUAUCUACGCAAUAGACCUAGCUCAUGAUGCCAUUGUUGGGGAACGUAGCAGAAAUUCAAAAAUUUCCUACGUGUCACCAAGAUCUAUCUAUAGAGAGACCAGCAAUGAGUAGAAAGAGAGUGCAUCUACAUACCCUUGUAGAUCACUAAGCGGAAGCGUUCAAGUGAGCGGGGAUGAUGGAGUCGUACUCGUCGUGAUUCAAAUCACCGAUGAUCAAGUGCCGAACGCACGGCACCUCCGCGUUCAACACACGUACAGCCCGGUGACGUCUCCCAAGCCUUGAUCCAGCAAGGAGAGAGGGAGAGGUUGAAGAAGACUCCAUCCAGCAGCAGCACAACGGCGUGGUGGUGAUGGAGGAGCGUGGCAAUCCUGCAAGGCUUCGCCAAGCACCGCGGGAGAGGAGGAGUACUUGUGAGAGGGGGAGGGCUGCGCCAGAACUUCGUGUAUAGCUCCCAUGUGCCUCCCCACUAUAUAUAGGGGUGGAGGGGCUGGUUUCUUGCCCUCCAAGUCCAUUGGGGCGUUGGCCAAGGUGGGAGGAAAGAAAUCUCAUUAUUUCCUUCCCCACCGAUUGUUAUCCCCCCUUUUUAGGGAUCUUGAUCUUAUCCCUUCGGGAUAUGAUCUUAUUCCUUCUAAGGGGGGAUCUUGGUGCGCCUUGACCAGGGGUGUGGGGCCUUGCCCCCACUACCCACGUCCAUGUGGGUCCCCCCAUGCAGGUGGGCCCCACUCCGGAACCUUCUAGAACCUUCCCGGUACAAUACCGAAAAAUCCCGAACAUUUUCCGGUGGCCAAAAUAGGACUUCCCAUAUAUAAAUCUUUACCUCCGGACCAUUCCGGAACUCCUCGUGACGUCCGGGAUCUCAUCCGGGACUCCGAACAACAUUCGGUAACCACAUACAAACUUCCUUUAUAACCCUAGCGUCAUCGAACCUUAAGUGUGUAGACCCUACGGGUUCGGGAGACAUGUAGACAUGACCGAGACGUUCUCCGGUCAAUAACCAACAGCGGGAUCUGGAUACCCAUCAUGGCUCCCACAUGUUCCACGAUGAUCUCAUCGGAUGAACCACGAUGUCAAGGACUUAAUCAAUCCCGUAUUCAAUUCCCUUUGUCUAUCGGUAUGUUACUUGCCCGAGAUUCGAUCGUCGGUAUCCAAUACCUUGUUCAAUCUCGUUACCGGCAAGUCACUUUACUCGUUCCGUAACACAUCAUCCCGUGAUCAACUCCUUGGUCACAUUGCGCAUAUGAUGAUGUCCUACCGAGUGGGCCCAGAGAUACCUCUCCGUUUACACGGAGUGACAAAUCCCGGUCUCGAUCCGCAUAAAACAAUAGAUACUUUCGGAGAUACCUGUAGUGCACCUUUAUAGUCACCCAGUUACGUUGUGACGUUUGAUACACCCAAAGCACUCCUACGGUAUCCAGGAGUUACACGCUCUCAUGGUCGAAGGAAGAGAUACUUGACAUUGGCAAAGCUCUAGCAAAUGAACUACACGAUCUUUUGUGCUAGUCUUAGGAUUGGGUCUUGUCCAUCACAUCAUUCUCCUAAUGAUGUGAUCCCGUUAUCAACGACAUCCAAUGUCCAUAGCCAGGAAACCAUGACUAUCUGUUGAUCACAACGAGCUAGUCAACUAGAGGCUCACUAGGGACAUAUUGUGGUCUAUGUAUUCACACGUGUAUUACGAUUUCCGGAUAAUACAGUUAUAGCAUGAAUAAAAGACAAUUAUCAUGAACAAGGAAAUAUAAUAAUAAUACUUUUAUUAUUGCCUCUAGGGCAUAUUUCCAACAUAAAAUGUUUAUCCAAAUGCAAAAAUUCCAACUCCUAAAUUCUUCUAAAAACCCCACCUAUUUAAUGAUGUCAUUUUCAUGCAAAUCCAUCACACCUUUCUGUACUGUUCAAAUUUAGAUUCAAAAUUGAGCCUUUAAAUCCAUCUUUAAAAAUCCACUUCUUUGUAUCUAUAGUUCCAAAUCCAAAACUAAGAAUUUUUGCAUUCUUAGUUUUCAUCAUGUUAUUUAACAUAAAUAAGUUGACAUUUUUGUGACCACUUUCAUUGUUCUGUUUUUACUAUUGCCUUAUUUCUCAUUGUUCCUUUGUGACGAAUAGAUCAUGUGUUUGACGAAAUAGUUGGAGAAGAAGAAGGAGAAGGGCUUGAAGACUUCGAAGACCAAGCCAACCAAGGCAAGCAACUCUUUGACCAUGAUUCAGCCCUCUCGUUCAUCGAUAAAUUUUCCAUAUGCAUGAUGACGUUGUUGAAUAUGAGCUUCAUAUAAUCGUUGCAAUGAUGCAUGCUCAUUGGUACUUGCAUGUUUGUAACUCUAUUUUGUGCUAGACAUGCGAUGAAAAAUACUUGAUAUUGACGCAUGAUGGUUGCAUCUAUGCCAUGAUCAUCUCUUGGUUACAAUCCUUUGAAAACCCCAUCGGGUGCCCCUAAUGCCCAUGGGUAUGUUGAACUUGGUCACCACUUGAUGAAUAAGUGGUGCAUUGAAGCAAGUGAAUAUGUGUUGUUUACAUAGACGGAUUAGAUUCAAGAUUUGUUGACCGUACCAACCUUACAUGCGCAACCACUCUACCCUUAUAUGCGAAAGGGCAUUAUUGAUUACCUAGUUCAGGCUAACAUGGAUGCCCGCAUUACUAGUGACGGGAGUGGCGUGGUCACUCUCGGGAUGGGGUCGUGCUAGGUAGGGCGGACAUGACUGUUUUUACAGGGCACUGGACACACCGUUGGAACCCCGUGCUUGUGAUAUGAGAUGAAUUUGGGAGCAUGGCUCCACAAAAAAGAAUUAUUAUGUGACAAUGUUUGGCACGGGGGCUGCUACCAAUCAAGUGGACUCCUUGUUAGUCACGGCUAGGGAAAGGUAGUGAUCAGGUGCUUCCCCCGAGUAAUUGAGGUACUGCAGGAUCGUGGAUGACACGAAAGCUUCCCGGAUCUUGUGGGUAAAGUGUGCAACCUCUGCAGAGUGUCAAACUAUUCGAAUAGCCGUGUCCACGGUUAAGGACAGUUGGGUGGUGCUGCUUAGACUAUGUCCAUACGUUUCUGAAAAACAACACAAAUUUGAAUUGUUUAUGAGAAUCAUGAUAAGUUGGAGAUUGAGUUGUGUGAAACUCAUUCUCAAUGUUGAUAUCUGAAAUCCCUUGAUUCAUGAUCAUAGAUGCAUUAUUAACACCACAAGUAUUGAACAUACUUGUAUGAGAGAAACUAUCUUACUACCAGCAUGCCACCAUAAUGAUAUUAUCAGGCAUAUGUCAAUUUGUUACCAUUCAUGGGUUGCUUGUGAGUACAUUCAAACAUACUCAUUGGCUUGUCCCCUGCUAUUUACUUGGCCAGGCAUGGAAGAGCAGGAAUAUGAGCAAGAAUGUUUCGAUGACUAAUGUCGCUUGAAGCUACGUCGGUACUUCCCCAAAGAGGAAGGGAUGAUGCAGCACAAUAGUGGUAGCUAUUUCCAUCAGAUAUGAAACCAAGGUUCGAACCAGUACGAGAACCAAGCAACACAACGUAAACAGCCCCUGCACACAAAGAACUACACCUCUCAACCCGACGUGUUAAAGGGGUUGUCAAUCCCUUUCGGGGUACGGCGCCUCAAGAUAGGCAAAGGACGUGAGGUAAAUUUGUAGAUGGGAUAAACAGAUCGCGGAACAAAUAAAUUUCAGCAAGGUAUUUUUGUAAUUUUUUAGUUUAAUAGAUCUGAAAAUAAACGCGAGGAAAAAGUAGAUCACAAGGCAAAUAUAUGAGAAAGAAGACCCGGGAGCCAUAGGUUUCACUAGUGGCUUCUCUCGAGAAAAAUAGCAAAUGGUGGGUGAACAAAUUACUGUUGGGAAAUUGAUAGAACUUCAAAUAAUCAUGAAGAUAUCCAGGCAAUGAUCAUUACAUAGGCAUCAUGUCCAAGAUUAGUAGACCGACUCCUGCCUGCAUCUACUACUAUUACUCCACACAUUGACCGCUAUCCAGCAUGCAACUAGUGUAUUAAGUUCAUGGAAAAACAGAGUAAUGCAAUAAGAACGAUGACAUGAUGUUGACAAGAUCCAUUUAUCUAUUGCGGCAGAUAUGGAUCCCAUCUUUUUAUCCUUAGUAGCAAUGAUACAUAUGUGUCGGUUCCCUUUCUGUCACUGGGAUCAAGCACCAUAAGAUCGAACCCACUACCGGGCACCUCUUCCCAUUGCAAGAUAAAUAGAUCAAGUUGGCCAAACAAAACCCAAAUAUCAGAGAAUAAAUACGAGGCUAUAAGAGAUCGCGCAUAUAAGAGAUCAAAGAACUCAAAUAACUUUCAUGGAUAUAAAAAGAUAUAACUGAUCAUAAACUCGAAGUUGAUCGGAUCCCAACAAACACACCGCCAAAAGACUUACAUCAUAUGGAUCUCCAAGAGACCAUUGUAUUAAUAAUCAAGAGAGAGAGGAAGCCAUCUAGCUACUAACUACUGACCCGAAGGUCUGCAAAGAACUAUUCACGCAUCGUCGGAGAGGCACCAAUGGAAGUGGUGAGCACCUCCAUGAUGGUGUCUAGAUUGGAUCUCGUGGUUUUGGACUCUGCGGCGACUAGAUGAAAAUUUUGUCGACUCCCCUAGGGUUUCUGGAAUAUUGGGGUACUUAUAGAGCAAAGAGUCGGUCCAGGGGGCACCCGAGGUGGGCACAACCCACCAGGGCGCGCCUGGGCCUCCUGGCGCACCCUGGUGGGUUGUCCCCUCCUCAGGACUCCCCCCAGGUGCAACCAGGGCCCGUUGUGUUCCUUCUGGCCCAUAAAAAAUCAUCAUAAAUUGGCGUGGCAUUUGGACUCCUUCUGAUAUUGAUUUCCUGUGAUGUAAAAAACAUGCAGAAAACAGCAAUUGGCACUUGGCACUAUGUCAAUAGGUUAGUACCAAAAAUGAUAUAAAAUGACUAUAAAAUGAUUAUAAAACAUCCAAGAUUGAUAAUAAAAUAGCAUAGAAUAAUCUAAAAUUAUAGAUACAUUGGAGCGUAUCAGCAUCCCCAAGCUUAACUCCUGCUCGUCCUCGAGUAGGUAAGUGAUAAAAUAGAAUUUUUGAUGUGGAGUGCUAUUUAUCAUGUCAUAUCAUAUUCUUUUCUUCAUAGCAUGGACAUUUGGACGUUUAUGUGAUUCAAAGCAACAGUCUAGUUUUGACAUAAUAAUUUAGAUACUCAAGCAUACCAACAAGCAACCAUGUCUUUCAAAAUACCAAUGCUAAAACAAGUUAUCCCUAGCCCAUCAUGCUCAAACAUUGAUCCAUUCAUGAAACAAACUCGAAUAUUAGCUACACCCAAUACUUAAGUACGAUCAUAUUGUCCCCUAGUUGGUGCUAUUAUAAGAGAGGAUGGAGAAUCAGUUUCAAAAAUAAAAAUUGCAUAAAGUAAAAGAAAGGCCCUUCGCGGAGGGAAGUAGGGAUUUGUAGACGUGUCAGAGCUCAAAGCGAAAAAUUAGAGAUAAAAACAUUUUGGGAGGUGUAUCCAUCCCACCAACGAAAACGACUUGGAGCAUCCCAACACUUUCCAUGCUAGAUAUAUCAUAGGCGGUUCCCAAACAAAAAAAAUAAACUUUAUUCCUUUUUCCACCAUAACUUUCACUUUUCAUGGCAAGCCGUAUCCAUGGGUGCCCUCCAUACCAACACUUUCUAAUGAAUUUAUUAUUUGACAACAUAAAGUAAAUUCAUUUUUGCAUUUUGGGACUGAGCAUCCCUAAGACCUUUGCCUUACUCGCGUGCAAUGACAAGUGAAUAAACACUCAUCAUGAGAAUAACACAUCUAGCAUGGAAAAUAUUAGCUACCUGUUACCAUUCCGCGAGCGAAACAAACACACAAAAGAGAAGUUCAUUUCGAAAAUUAGAGAUGGCACAUGCAAAUUUGCUUAGAACAUCAAACGAAUACCGCAUAUAGGUAGAUAUAGUGGACUCAUGUGGCAAAACUGGUUUAAAGGAUUUUGGGUGCAUAAGUAGAGGUCAUACUUGGUGCAAAAAGAAGGCUAGCAAAAAGAUUGAGAAGCGACCAACAAAGAAACGAAUAAUCUCAUAAGCAAGCAUUAAGCAUAAUUAACACCGAAUAAUGCACCACAAGUAGGAUAUAAUUUUCAUUGAAUGAUUAUUGACUUUCAUGCAUGCAUAGGGAAUCACAAACCUUAACACCAAUAUUCUUACUAGAGCACAAUUAAUCACCAACAUGACUCACAUAUCACAUCAUCAUAUCUCAAAACUAUUACUAAGAAUCAAGUUUAUUUUGUACAAUGAUCUUCAUGACAUAUAUUUUUUUUCAUUAUCCUUCUUGGAUAUCUAUCACUUUGGGACUAAUUUUCAUGUGUUGCUUUUCAUAAGCUCAAACAAAUAUAAGUGAAGAUCAUGAGCAUAACAUAUUUUAUUUCUCUCAAAAUAAUUUAACUGAAGCAAGAGAGAAUUUAUUAAAAAUUUUACUAACUCUCAAAUAAAUCUAAGUGAAGCAAGAGAUCAUUUCUUCAAAAAUACUAAGCAUGCCGUGCUCAAGAAGAUAUAAGUGAAGCACUAGAUCAAGUCCAUUGCUCAUAAAAAUUUAAGUGAAGCUUAGAGAGCAAUUCUAACAAGUCAUGGCAUAAUUUUGGAUCUCCCAAAUAUAUGUGUCCAGCAAGUAAUGAUGACUUAAAACACAAAAUAAAACAAGCAAAGACACAUAUCAUACAAGAAGCUCCAAGCAAAACACAUAUCAUGUGACGAAUAAAAAUAUAGUCUCGAGUAAAAUACCGAUGGUCGUUAGAAGAAAGAGGGAUGCCACUCGGGGGCAUCCCCAAGCUUAGUUGGUUGCUCAUUCUUGGAUAAUAGCUUGGAAUGCAGGGGUAUCCCCAAGCUUAGUCUCUACUAUCCUUUUUUUCAUCCAUCGUGAGAUAACCCAAAACUUGAAAACUUCAAUCACACAAAACUCAACAAAACCCUUGUGAGAUCCAUUAGUAAAAGAAAGAAAACCACUACUAUAAGUGAUGUGUCAAACCAAUUCUUAUUUUGUUUUUGUAUUAUAUCUACUGGAUUCCAACUUUUCUAUGGCAAAAACUCAUCAAAGAAAACCAUAGAGCCAUCAAAAUAAGCACACAACACAAAGAAAACAGAAUCUGUCAAAACAGAAUAGUCUGUAAUAAUAUGGAACUUUCGGAUACUUAUGGAACCCCAAAAAUUAUACAAAAUUAGGAAAACCAGAGUAAUUUGUAUAUUAGUCUUCGAAAAAAUAAUCAGGGCAAAAUCUCUUUUCUGUGAUUUAUGAAAAUUAUUUUCGUGAGCGCAAAUUUUAUGUCUUUUUCAGCAAGAUCAAACAACUAUCACCACAGAAGAUCCUAAAGGCUUUACUUGGCACAAACACUAAUUAAAACACAAUCAUACCAGUAGCAUAAUUGUGUUAAAACACAAUAACAGAAAGCAAAAAGAAAAAAUAAAUUUUAUUCAUGGGUUGCCCCCAACAAGCGAUAUAGUUUUACGCCCUUAACUAGGCAUAAAGUAAGGAUCUAAGUUUUGUCAUCUUUGGUGCUAGAUCCAUAAGAUGACCUCAUGUUUGAUUCAUAUGGUGGCUUAAUUAUUGUUCUAGGAAAGUGUUCCAUACCCUUCCUCAAAGGAAAUUGGAACUUAAUAUUGCCUUCUUUCAUAUCAAUCACUGACCGAUAGUGCGUAAAAACGGUCUACCAAGAAUAAUUGGACAAGACGGAUUGCAAUCAAUUUCAAGAAUAAUAAAAUCUAUGGGAACAUAGUUUCUAUUUGCAAGAAUAAGAACAUCAUUAAUUCUUCCCGUAGGGUUUUUAAUAGUAGAAUCCGCCAAGUGCAAAUUCAAAGAGCAUUCUUCAAGAUUGGUAAGGCCAAGCAUAUCACAUAAAGAUUUCGGAAUUGUAGAAACACUAGCAUCCAAGUCACACAAAGGAAAAAACUCAUAAUUUUUAAUCUUGACUUUGAUAGUAGGUUCCCAUUCAUCAUGCAAUUUUCUAGGAAUUGAAACUUCUAAUUCCAAUUUUUCUUCCAAAGCUUUCAUCAUAGCAUCAACAAUAUGUUUAGUAAAAGCUUUAUUUUGUUCAUAGGCUUGGGGUGAAUUUAGCAUGGAUUGCAACAAAGAAAUAUAAUCAAUCAAAGAGCAACUAUCAUAAUUAAAGUCUUUUUAAUCCAAAAGAGUGGGCACAUCACUAGCUAAAGUUUUGACCUCUUCAAACCCACUUUUAUCAAUUUUCUCAACAAGAUUUUCACCCUCCGAAAUAUUGGGACACCUUCUAACUAAAGUUGACUCUUCUCCAAUCCCUUUAUCAUCAUUCUUAAUUUUACUAAACAAGGAAUCAAUAGAAGAAACACCAAUCAUUUUAAGAUCUUCAUCACUUUUGCGAAAGAAAUCACUAGAAAACGCUUUUUCUAAAAAUUCUCUUUUAACUCUAAGCAUAGCGGUUCUUUGCUUACUUUCAUCCAUAGAAACAUAAAGAGCUUUAAUUGAUUCAUAUACUUUAGGCGCAAAAAAUUUCACCUUGAGAUUUUCCACAACAGGAGCAAUUCUAGCAACACUUCUAGACAAAUCAUCAAUCUUAUUCAACUUUUCUUCUAUCGAAGUGUUGAAAACCUUUUGUGUGUUGAUAAAUUCUUUAAUAUUAUUAUCAAAAUCAAAGGUAUUCGUAUUAUUAUUGUAAGAUUGAUUUCCAUAGGAAUUACCAUAAUUAUUAGAGGAAUUACUAGGAAAAGGCCUAGGAUUAAAAUUACCUCUAUAAGCAUUGUUGUUGAAAUUAUUGCGAGAAAUAAAAUUCACAUCAAAGUAGACAAAGGCAUAUCAUAAAAAUCAAUAGGAGCACUUUUACUAGCAACCAAUUUCAUAAGAGCAUCAACUUUUUCACUCAAAGAAGAAAUUUCUUCAACCGAAUAAUUUUUUUUACUAAUAGGAGCCCUUUCGGUAUGCCAUUGUGAAUAAUUUGCCAUAAUAUUAUAUAGCAAUUUGGUGGCUUCACCCAAGGUAUUUUCCAUAAAAGUACCACCCGCGGCGAAAUCUAAAAGAUUACGAGAAACAAAAUUCAACCCCGCAUAAAUUUUUUGUAUGAUCAUCCAAAGAUUUAACCCAUGAGUUGGGCAAUUCCUUAGCAUCAUUGUCAUCCUUUCCCAAGAUUGUGCAACAUGCUCAUGUUCAAGUUGCUUGAAAUUCAUGAUCUGGGUUCUAAGGGAAAUAAUUUUUGUGGGAUGAAAAUACUUAGUGAUAAAAGCAUCUUUGCACUUAUUCCAAGAAUCGAUAAUAUUGCAAUGCAAAGAAGAGAACCAAUUUUUUGCAGAAUCACGCAAAGAAAACGGAAAUAAUUUCAUCUUGACCACAUCAUUGUCCACAUCUUUUUUCUUUUGCAUAUCGCAUAAUUCCACGAAGGUAUUAAGAUGGGACGCAGCAUCCUCAUUAGGAGUACCGGAAAAUUGGUCUUUCAUAACAAUAUUCACCAAAGCAGUAUUAAUAUCACAAGUCUCCGCACUAGUGGCGGGAGGAGCAUGCGGAGUUCCAAUAAAAUCAUUGUUGUUUGUAUUUGAGAAGUCACAUAGUUUGGUGUUCUCUUGAGUCAUGAUAACCACACAACAAGAUUGCACUCAAAAACAGAUCCGGCAAGAAAACGGCGAACGGAAAAAGAGAGGCGAAUAAAACAACAAAUUUUUGUGAAGUGGGGGAGAGGAAAACGAGAGGAAAAUGGUGAAUAAUGUAAAUUGCAAGGAGAUGAGAUUUGUGAUUAGGAACCUGGUUAUGUUGAAGAUCCUCCCCGGCAACGGCGCCAGAAAUUCCUUUUGAUGCCGCUUGAAGCUACGUUGAUAUUUCCCCAAAGAGGAAGGGAUGAUGCAGCCCAGCGGUGGUAGGUAUUUCCGUCAGAUAUGAAAACAAGGUUAUCAAACCAGUUGGAGAACCAAGCAACACAACGUAAACAGCCCCUGCACACAAAGAACAACACCUCGCAACCCGACGUGUUAAAGGGGUUGUCAAUCCCUUUCAGGGUACGGUGCCUCAAGAUAGGCAAAGGACGUGAGGUAAAUUUGUAGAUGGGAUAAAUAGAUCGCGGAACAAAUAAAUAGCAGCAAGGUAUUUUUGUAUUUUUUAGUUUAAUAGAUCUGGAAAAAAACGCGAGGAAAAAGUAGAUCGCAAGGCAAAUAUAUGAGAAAGAAGACCCAGGGGGCGUAGGUUUCACUAGUGGCUUCUCUCGAGAAAAAUAGAAAACGGUGGGUGAACAAAUUACUGUUGGGCAAUUGAUAGAACUUCAAAUAAUCAUGACGAUAUCCAGGCAAUGAUCAUUACAUAGGCAUCACGUCCAAGAUUAGUAGACUGACUCCUGCUUGCAUCUACUACUAUUACUCCACACAUCGACCGCUAUCCAGCAUGCAUGUAGUGUAUUAAGUUCAUGGACAAACGGAGUAGUGCAAUAAGAACGAUGACAUGAUGUAGACAAGAUCCGUUUAUCUACUGCGGCAAAUAUGGAUCCCGUCUUUUUAUCCUUAGUAGCAACGAUACAUACGUGUCGGUUCCCUUUCUAUCACUGGGAUCAAGCACCAUAAGAUCGAACCCACUACCGAGCACCUCUUCCCAUUGCAAGAUAAAUAGACCAAGUUGGCCAAAGAAAACCCAAAUAUCGGAGAAGAAAUAUGAGGCUAUAAGAGAUCAUGCAUAUAAGAGAUCAAAGAAUUCAAAUAACUUUCAUGGGUAUAAAAAGAUAUAAUUGAUCAUAGACUCGAAGUUCAUUAGAUCCCAACAAACACACCGCCAAAAGACUUACAUCAUAUGGAUCUCCAAGAGACCAUUGUAAUGAUAAUCAAGAGAGAGAGAGAGAGAGGAAGCCAUCUAGCUACUAACUACAGACCCGAAGGUCUACAAAGAACUACUCAUGCAGCAUCGGAGAGGCACCAAUGGAAGUGGUGAACCCCUCCGUGAUGGUGUCUAGAUUGGAUCUCGUGGUUCUGGACUCUACGGCGGCUGGAUGAAAAUUCCGUCGACUCCCCUAGGGUUUCUGGAAUAUUGGGGCUAUUUAUAGGGAAAAGAGUCGGUCCAGGGGGCACCCGGGGUGGGCACAACCCACCAGGGCGUGCAUGGGCCACCUAGCGCGCCCUGGUGGGUUGUCCCCUCCUCGGGACUGCCCCUAGGUGCAACCAGGUCCCGUUGUGUUCCUUCUGGCCCAUAAAAAUCAUCAUAAAUUGGUGUGGCAUUUGGACUCCUCUGAUAUUGAUUUCCUGCGAUGUAAAAAACAUGCAGAACACAGCAACUGACACUUGGCACUAUGUCAAUAGAUUACUACCAAAAAAUUAUAUAAAAUGACUAUAAAAUGAUUAUAAAACAUCCAAGAUUGAUAAUAAAACAGCAUGGAAUAAUCUAAAAUUAUAGAUACGUUGGAGACGUAUCAGUGACGAACAUGUGAACGAGGUCGGUCCCCCAGUCAGAAUGCAUGUAGGGUUAAGGCAGAUGGCAUGGGUUCUACUUAUCGACGAAGAUUUCCGCUGCUUGUGUUUAACCUUAUGUUCAACCCUUGAGGCUUUAUCUAUUUAAGACCUGACCAUAAUGUUCAUAAUUUUUGUAAGACGGUAUGUAUGGAUGUAAGACUCUUGUUAUUCAGCUUCUGUGUGUUCAGUGAGCAUUGAUCUCUGGGACCACUAUACACGUGCACUAGAUGAUCACACAUCGUGGGCCGCGGGUAGGCAAGUCUGGGUACCCUGGUUCCCAAAAUGCCGAUAGUAGCCCCUGGGCCCAAGGCGUGCUCGGACUUGCCUUCGAGGCGAAGCCAAAGGGCAAAGGCGGAGCGCCGCGGGCCCAAAUCGCCUGCGGGCCAGGCUGACUUGUGCCGCCUGAUGGGCGUGGGUGUCUCCGCUUCCCCAUGCCACCUCGGCAACUGCUCAACUUGAAAACUGCCUGGUGCGUGCACUCGAGCCAUUAUUGCCCUGCUGCAUGCUUGCCUUCUGCUUCUUCUUCUUGUCGUGGACUCGCAUCCGCUUUGCCAGGUUCCGUGAUAGCUCCAAUCUACCCUGCUGCCAUGGCUCCCAGGAAGAAGAAGGGGGGAAUUCCUCCGAUGGCAGAGACCUCGCCGGGGGCGGAACCAGCACUCGGUUUGUCCACGAUGAUCAACCAUGAAGGGUUGGAUAAGGUUCGGCACGCCAUCGCCGCCGAUUCCAACGAGUGGAAGGCAACGAAGAUCUGGCCUGCCUCCCAGACCCUGGCUCAUAUGGAGGCCACCGAGAUCCCCCUUCAUCUUCAUGCCCUUUUCGCCGGCUUGUUGCUGCCAUUCUCUGACUUCUUCAACGUUGUGCUCUCGCAUUACCAAAUCCACACGCUGCAUCUGGAUCUUGGAUCCAUCGUCCUUCUCUUCGCCUUUGCAUUCUUGUGUGAGGCCUUCAUGGGUGUUGCCCCAUCCGUGGCCCUGCUCCACCACUUUUUCUCGCACCAGUUGGUUGACGGCGAGAAACGCUCGGGGUGCGUGUCACUUCAGGUGGUGGUGGUGACCGUAGGUUCCUUCAUCGGGACUGCGCUCCGCCCGGACGCGACGGGGUUCCGGAAGCAAUGGGUGUACAUCGACGCUGGCACAUGUAGCCCUCUGCUCCUGAUCCCGUCGGCGCUGACGGAACCGAGCUCUAGCUGGGGGCACGCGGAGCUUUUCGACCCGCGGCUUGCGUGAGUCAUGACUAGGAUUGCCAUCCUGAGGAAGGCGGGGGUGACAAUGGCGAUGGUUGUGAGGGAGUUCACGCGCCGGCGCAUCGCCUCGCUCUAGCGCCCUUCCCGUCCGAUGUGGGCUUUCACCGGCCAUGCAGACGACAUGAGGCUUCAGCGGCCCCCUCUUGCUUCCAGCACACUGAGUGCAGUGAUGCAUCUUCUGAUCGGCGAAGAACCCAUCGUACUCCCUCCUGACAGGUUUCCUCUGUAUGAUCACCCGAAGGGGGAAGCCUUAGCCAAGAAGAUGUCACGCUUCGACGAGUGGGGGCUGCUCCCCGAGGGCCAUGAGGGGCCUCGUGACAACCCCCUCUUGAUGACUCCUGGGCAUGGAGGCCCUGAGGAGCGCGCUCACGAGGUGGUUGUGGGGGAGUGGGGACUGCCUAGCACUCCUAAGGCUGCCAUUGGGGAGCUGACGCCACCAUGUGCUCCUGAGGUGGCUGCUGGGGAGCAGGAACCACCAUGUGCUCCUGAAGUGGCCGCUCCUGUCCCCACGAGUGGUGAAGGAGGAGUACCGCCCGCGGAUGCAGCCACUGUCCCCGCUGUGGAGGGCCACACUCUAGUCCUUAGCGCAUCUCCUUUGGACCUCGGGGCAUCCCACAAGAGGAAAGAGCCCGGGAGUUGCUGCAAUCCUGUCCCGAGGAUCCUGAAGAAGAGGAGAUGGAUUGCUGUGGAUGAGUACGUACCUUGCCUUCCUCCUGACCCUUGCAUCUCGCGUCUUCGUCUAACUCUUUGCCCGUCAGGACUCCUUCCCUCGAGGAGGCAAGCGCAUCCCGAGUGCCACCUCCAGAGGGCGCUGGUCCCGUCGCAACCACAUACCUUGUGAGCCGCACGCCGGUGUGCACUGACAUGCUUGUGUGUGCGCUGAGGCCAAAACUGAGAAGCCUUGGUCCUGCGCCCCCGACGCCUCUCUUCAGGAGCGGCCUCCGGACUGUGGGGUGAUACCAAGGGCUCCCCCACUGAUUGUCGCUGCCAACUGAGCGUCUCGCGCGACAGAGCCACCUUCAAGAGGCGGGGCAUGCCCGCGUCAGGCCCCACCUCGGGUCGGAGGAAUGGGAGAAGGGACGUCGGCCCCCAAGCCUCUGUCGAGGGCGGGCGAGUACUCUCGCUCUCCUUCGGCUGACCGAGGCGCAGAGGAAGGCCCCGGUCAGGCAUUGGAGCUUGCACGCGGACGCAACGCCAUCCGUCAUGGCCUUCUUGGGGAGGUGGCAAACACGUUGGGCCUCCUUGGGGUGGAGCUUGGCGAUGUUGAUGCCCGCUUGGAGGCAGAGCCCCUGCGCCUGGCGUGCAAAUGGCGUCAGCUACAAUUCACCAUCAACUUCGGUCACCUGCAGCGCAAGCGUGCCCGAGCGGAGGCGGAAGGGCCCCUGUCCGCGGCAAGGGAGGCUUGCGAUCGCGCCUUGGAGGAGGUCUGGGCCACGGAUCGCAGGUGUGAAGCAGCGGAGGCACGCGAGAAGGAGCUCCACGCUUCCAACGCCAUCCUUGAGCGACAAGUCCGGGCACACAUGUUGUGCUCGCCGCCCCGACGGUCGGGCUGCUUGCGGGUGAGGCGAGGCCCCGCACGCUCGAAGACACAUUGGCGCUGGAGGCGAGCCUGGAGCGCGAGCGGCUGGAAGUGAUGGAGCGCCAAGUGGCUGCUACUGAGGAUGCCCUCGCUUCUCAGAAGGGGAGGAUCCAGCGAGAGGUCGACAAAAAGGCCACUGGGAUCCACGAGGCCCUUGCCGAGGAAUAUCGCCGGAUGCUGGAGCUCCAGGAGGCUCGCUUUUGCGUGUGGCCUGGGUCCUUAGGGCAUAUUUAGCGCCGCUGGGCCGACCCAAGCGUGCACACCGCACCCAGCCCCUGCUCGCGGGGUGCGAUGGUGGGAGCCAGAGGUGCCUACCAUCUCUCGCAAAGACGAAAAUCAAGCAAAGGGAAAAAACGGCCAGAGGAAGACGAAACCAAGAAACCUCCCUUUUCUUUAACAAAAACGCAAGAGCUGCAAGUUCAUUGCAAGAAAUAGCAGAUUCGGCUAUAAGAGAAGGCAAAAAAUAGCUGCAUCUGGCACCUAUGCUAGUCUUCUAGUCUCCCCCCAGCACGGAGCAUGGGGCGUCCACUAGGCGUGGGCAUAGUCAUUGGGGGACCGUGUCGUCCGCCUGCACGAAGCAUGGGGCUUCCACUGAGACGUGGGUGGGAGCCCCCGUGAGGCUCAGGGGUAGCACUCAGGAGACUCCGGGGCGUGUACAACCCCACUCAUUAUUACAUGGGAGUGUCAUGAGCGGAGACUUGAGGGGUGCUUCUUGCCCCCCGGGGUGGACCCCGCCCCGCACAUACCCCGACCACCGUCGGGGCAUUCAGGGCAGGACCAAGGGGCAAGGGGCUACGCAGGCUAUGGUAAGGUGGCCGCGAGGCCCUUGGUCGGGGGAGGGCUCGCUCGUGCCUUCUGCGGAGAACGACCCGCUUCCGGAUGGCACGCACCACCGUGGUGGUGGCGCCAUACGCCUUGUGACGCGGGGGAGCUCUGGCACCGGGCUCCCCCUCCCAGCGUGGGGCGCGUCCUCGCGCGACCUCCUGGUGUGCCCUGCCUGUCUGGGGCGGGUCCGACGCCUGGAGGUGCACCGUCAUGGCGCGAUUUACCUGCGAUCCAAGGUUAGCGUGACAUGUUACAAAGAUAUUGGUUGUAACUGGUGGCCGUUACUGCCGAAGGUGCCGACGGAGCAUUGGUUUGGCUCGUAAGGGGCCCCGAUCCCAUGUGGCCUCGGCGAUCUAGACGUCCAGAUCGACAGGGGGAAUGUGCGUGGGCCUCUCCUUUGUUUGUACAACGGGCCCAAUAAUGGCGACUCAGAGGCAACAGGGGACAUCAUCCUCAAUCCAGCCUCUAGUCCUUCCGCUCUGCUGCUCACCAUCUCUGGUACCCGAUCGAGCCGACCAAGGGGUGGUCCCUCGUUGUGGCUCCAGGAGGAGCCGCCUAUCCCGGUCGCACCUCGGGGGAACGCAUCUUGAGUUGGGUGAGCGGCGUCGCGUGCGAGGUCACCGCUGCGAGACCCUACGGACACCCUCCAGGAAGGCAAGCAGAUGCAGCGGGAGUAGGUACGAGUCCCUGGCGGUGUAGGCAGGAUAUGAAAGGGCUCCGCGCCCUCGCAGGCGGCAUCGAGCAGCUCAGCGACCUGACCAAGCAAGGCGUCAUGGCUGCCUUCUGGAAGCCGACAUCUCAACAGCUCUCGCGACACAAGGAGCGCAGCCCGCAGGUUCACCAGCCCUCGGCGAGCUUGCAAGGACGAUGUCACGACGUGGUCGGAGGACCGCGCAGCGGCACGAUUGCGACGCCACGCGGGAGAGGGCGGUGGCGGGCCCCAUCACCAACGGCUAGUGACGCCAGCGGUAUCGUUAGCCAAGGGGAGCGCAAGGUGAUGAUGAGCUCCAUGGCCGAGGGGCACCACCCGGGCGGCGUGAGUAGCCCAAUGCUCAACGCAAGCUCAGGGAGCCUAUGCCAUGGGAGCGAUGGAACAGAAACGGAGCAAGGGUGGAAGAAGGACUCCGACACGCCCCUACCUGACGCGCCAAAUGUCGGAUUCAGGGCUCCGUAGACCCAAGAAAGGUUCAAACUCUGGGGCAUGUGCGAAGAACUCAACCUCUCCAGCGAACCAGCUAGUCGCCCUACGACCUAGCUCCACUCCUCAGAACAAGGAAGAAGAUGAACACGGCAGUUUACCCAGGUUCGGGCCACCUUGUGGUGUAAGACCCUACUCCUGCUUUUGGGGUGGAUUGGCAUCACGAGGGGCUGAGGAUGAACUAGUACAUGGGAUGAAUAACCUCACGAGGUUUGGGGGUGAGGGAGUGAGUCAACCGGGUUCCGAUCCCAUCAUAUGGUGGUGGCUAGCCUAUACUUAUAGUGGCCUUGGUCCUCUUCCACCAAAUCGUAGGCGGGAAGGGAUCCCAAAGUGGCCAAUUUGAAAGGGGACAAGUAGUACAUCUUACCCUGACGAAAGGUAGUCUUCGCCUGAAAAGAUGAUACGUCUCAACGUAUCUAUAAUUUAUGAAGUAUUCAUGCCAUGUUUACAAUAAUUUUAUAUGGUUUUGGUAUGAUUUGCAUGGAACUAACCCGGACUGACGUUGUUUUCAGCAGAACUACCGUGGUAUUGUUUUUUGUGCAGAAAUGAAAGUUCUCCAAAUGAGCUGAAACUUUUUGACGAUUUUUUAGAACAAAAUAGACCCCCGAAGCUUUGUGGGAGGGCCAGAAGAUCCACAAGCAGGGCACAACCCACUCGGGCGCGCCUGGGCCCUUGCCCAUGCCCCGGUGUAUCAUGCUCACCUAGAGGCCCAUCUAGACGUGAGACCGACGUCAAAAAUUCCUAUAAAUAGAGAAACCAUCAGAAAUAACCCUAGAUCGAAAGUUCCGCCACCGAAAGCCUUUGUAGCCACCGAAAACCAAUCAGGACCAUGUUCCGGCACCCUAUCGGAGGGGGGAAUCAUCUCCGGUGGCCAUCUUCAUCAUCCCGGCGGCCACCACGAUGAGGAGGGAGUAGUCCAUCCUCGGGGCUAAGGGUUUGUACCGGUAGCUAUGUGUUUAAUCUCUCUCUCUCUCUCUCUCGUGAUCUUGAGAUGUCACGAUCUUGAUGUAUCACGGGCAUUGUUAGCAUAGAUGGAUCAUAUGAUGUUUCUCCCCUCUCUACUCUUGUUGUGAUGAAUUGAGUCUUUACCCUUUGAAGUUUUGUCUUGUCAGAUUGAAUGUUCAGAUCUGAAAACACAUGAUAUAUGUCUUGCCGUACAAAUACUUGAGGUGACAAUGGAGUAUUAUAUUGAUUCACUUGAUAUAUGUUAUGGCACUCAACUUGCGGAUUCCCGCAGUGACAUUGGGGUAAUCUAUGCAUAGGGGUUGAUGCACAUUUUUAUUAUCUUUUCUCCAGUAGAAACUCUGGGGUCCCCUUGUAGUUCUUUGGGUGGAUUGAGUAUUAUGAAUAUGAAAUUGUUUGAUAUGUACUGUAUAAUUAACUCACGGGUACUCGCGGUGACAUUAGGGUAUCUAGGUGACAUUAGGGUUGGUUGAUAUGUAUCAUAUGGUGUUAUUUUAGUACGAACUCUUGAUUAGAUCGAUCGAAAAGAAUAGCUUGCUGUUAUUUUAAUACGAACUCUAUGAUAGGUUGAUCAGAAAGAAUAGCUUUGAGGUGGUUUCGUACCCUACAAACAAUUUCUAUCUUUUGUUCUCCGCUAAUAGGAACUCGGGAGUAAUUCUUUAUUACACUUUGAGGGAUAAUCAUAUGAUCCAACUAUGUUAGCAUUGUUGAGAGAUUGCACUCGUGAAAGUAUGCACCUUAGGCCUCAUUUUCCAUUAUUGCAAUACCGUAUGUGCUCCGUUUUACUAUUUACUACCUUGCUGUUUUUUAUUGUUCGCACUACAAAAACUCAUAUCUACUAUCCAUACUACACUUUUAUCACCAUCUCUUCGCCGAACUAGUGCACCUAUACAAUUUGCCAUUGUAUUGGGUUUGUUAGGGACACAAGAGAUUUAUUGUAUUUGAUUGCAAGGUUGCUUGAGAGAGACUAUCUUCAUCCUACACCUCCCACGGAUUGAUAAACUUUAGGUCAUCCACUUGAGGGAAAAUUGCUACCGUCCUACAAAACUCUACGCUUGGAGGCCCAACACGAGUCUACAAGAAUAAAGUUGCGUAGUAGACAUCAAGCUCUUUUCUGGCACCGUUGCCGGGGAGCUUUAGAUCUUGUAAUCGAAUCUUUUAGUUUCUUGUUUUAUCACUAGUUUGGUUUAUAAAAUAAAAAUACAUAAAGAAAUGGAAUUGAGUUGCAUCAUAUUAUUGAUCAUCUUUAUAAUAUCUUUCUUGAAAAUGAUGGUUCGAAAAAUUAUGCUCAAUUGAUACAAGAAGAAUGUAAUAAAAUGAUUGGCAUGAAUGAUGAGCAUGAUGGCAAUGUUGUUAGUAUGAAUUCUUUGAAUAUCCAUGAUGUUAAUGAUAUGCAAAGCUACAAGCUUGGGGAUGCUAUGUUUGAUGAAGAUGAUAUUUUCACUCCCCCAUGUUUUGAUGAGAUAAAUUAUUAUGAUGAUAGCAUGCCUCCUAUUUAUGAUAAUUCUAAUAAUGAAAGUGGAUUUGGAGAGGUCAUGACUUUAUUUAGUGAUGAAUCCACCAUUUUGGAUGAGGCGUCAAUUGACUAUGAUAACAAGGUUGCUAUCUAUGAUGAUUAUGGUGAUGACAGGUAUGCUAUAAAGAAUAAUGAUAACCAUGAAACUUUUUAUCAUGAUUUUAAUUUUCACUCUCAUGAUAGUUAUUUUGUUGAGUUUGCUCCCACUACUAUUGAUGAGAAGAAAUUUACUUAUGUGGAGAGUAAUAAGUUUUCUAUGCUUAUGUGUCAUGAAAAGAAUGCUUUAUGUGAUGGUUAUAUGGUGGAAUUUCUUCAAGAUGCUACUGAAAAUUAUUAUGAGAGAGGAACAUAUGCUUUUACAUAUCUCAAUAAUAUCAAGUUUCCUCUCCAUGUGUUGAAAGUUUUGAAAUUAUGCAUGUUUUGCCUUCCUAUGCUAGUUGAUUCUUGUUUCCAUGAAUUAUUUGCUCACAAAAUCCCUAUGCAUAGGAAGUGGGUUAGGCUUAAAUGUGCUUACCAUGUGAUUCAUGAUGCUCUUUUUCAUGUUUCAAUUCUUAUCUUUUCUGCGAGCAUCGUUGAAAUCAUCAUGCCUAGCUAAAAGGAAUUAAAGAAAAGUGCUUGUUGGGAGGCAACCCAACAUGUUUACCUACUGUUUUUGUGUGUUCACAUGAUUAGGCUACUGUAUUAAUCAUGUUUUAUUGUCUUUGUUUCAAUAAAGUGCCAAGUAAAGCCUUUGGGAUCAUGUUGGGUGAUGGUUGAUUUGAUCUUGCUAAAAAACAAAAACUUUUGCACUCACGAAAAUAACUCUCAUUUUUAACAAAAGAGUGAUUUUGAGUUGAUUCUUUUUGAAGAAGAUUAAUAUACAAAUUGCUCAUGUGUUCAUAAUUUUUGGAGUAGCAGAAGUAUGGUUUGAGUAUAGAUUACUACAGACUAUUCUGUUUUUGACAGAUUCUGUUUUCAAUGCAUAGUUCGCGUGUUUCCUUGUUUAUAUGGCUUAUAUUGCUCAAUACAAAUUGUGGAAAUGAUAUGAUACAGUAGGCAUUGUGUGGAAACAACUAUUAAUCUUGUCUUUGAUAGUAUCAAAGUGAAAUGGUUUACUCUUUAUGAUACUAACCUAUCUCACGAAGUUCUGUUAAGUUUUGUGUGAUUGAAGUUUUCAAGUUUUGGGUGAAAUGUCGAUAUGAGGAGAAUAACGAGUGACAAGACCCUAAGCUUGGAAAUUCCCAAGGCACCCACAAGGUAAUAUUCAAGGAAGAUACAAGCAACUAAGCUUGGAGAUGCCCCGGAAGGCAUCCCCUCUUUCGUCUCCAACAUUAUCGGUAACCUCACUUGGAGUUGUGUUUUCACUCGUCACAUGAUACGUGUUUUGCUUGGAGCGUCAAUUUAUUAUUUUUAGGAUUUUCUUGCUGUUAUUUAUAAUAAUGUUUUGCAUAUUUUAUUUAAAUAAAAGUGGCAAUGAUAGCCUUUGUCAUGCUUAUUUUGCAAGUAUACUUGUUGCUGUCUGAAAACAGAAAGUUUACCGUUGUUGCAAAAAUUUCAUAGAAAAGUCAUAAUGUGAUAAAAUUUUGAAACUUUUUGCAAAAUAAGCUCUGAUAAAUUUUCUACAGUGUGUAAUUUUUUUUAUAAUUUUUGGAGUUAGGGAAGUAUGGUGAGUAUUGCGUUCUUUACAGAUUGUACUGUUUUGGCAGAUUGCUGUUAUGUUUGCAUUGUUUGGAUAUGUUUGCUUGUUUAAUGAUUCUAUUUGACGAUAGGAGUAUUAAAUAUGCAGAGGAAUUUAGUAUGAAAUGUUGAAUAACAAUUUUAGUGAUUUUAUACAGUAGAGAAUGAUAAGGUUAUUGCAUUGGUUUAUACUAACUUAUCUCACGAGUUCUUGUUGAGUUUUGUGUCGAUGAAGUUUUUGAGAUUUAGGGAAACCAUGAUCUGAGAGGAAUUAAGGAGACACAAAAGCUCAAGCUUGGGGAUGCCCAAGGCAUCCCAAGUUAAUAUUACAAGAAGUCUCAAGCGUCUAAGCUAGGGGAUGCCCCGGUAGGCAUCCCACCUUUCCUCUUCAACAAUUAUCGGUUAUUAUCGGUUGAGCCUAAGUUUUUGCUUCUCCACAUGAUGUCUACUAUAUUUGGAAUCUCAGUUUUUUUUGCUUGCUGUUUUAAUAAAAUACUUAGAUCUGAAAGUUUUUAAAUUAAAUUGAGUCCUCAAAUAGCUACCCAUUUACAUAACUACUCAUUUGAUCUUCACUUAUAUAUUUUUGGAGUAGUUUGUCAUUUACUCCCGUGCUUCACUUAUAUCCUAUGAGUAAAUUGUUGAAUGAAUUGAAUAUCAUGAAGUUGAAAUUAUAUGUUCAUAUCAUGCCUAGUGGUAGCUUCACAUUGGGUUUAGAAAGUGAAAUCUUUUGAAGCUUGACAAUCACAAUAUUGGUCAUACAAGCAAUUCACAAAUAAUUAGUAUAAGGAAGAGACCUUUCACAUGCAAAUACACUAUCUUGGAAAUCUUUUGUGAUUAUGAUCCCUCAUCAAAAUAUUAUAUGCCAAAAUUGUUGACAUUGGACAAGGAAGACAACAUAAUGAUUUAUGUUUGUUCAUAUCCACAUAGAAGUUAUAUUUUCAUAGAUCCUUCAACAUGUGGUGCUUGCCCCCUAUCUUUGCUAGCCAACAAUUCCGCACCAAGUAGAGAUACUACUUGUGCAUCCAAAAACCCUUAAACCGAAAUCUUGUUUUGAGAGUCCACCAUACCUACCUAUGGAUUGAGCAAGAUCCUUCAAGUAAGUUGUCAUCGGUGCAAUAAGGUAAGAAAAAUUGCUUCUAAAAGUGUUAGAUCAUUUAGUGUAAGAGAAAAUUGAGCAUUGUACGAACUUGUGAUGGCAAAGAAUAAAAGCGACAGACUGCAUAAUAAAGGUUGCUAUCAUAAGGGGCAAUAUAACGUGAUGUUCUUUUGCACUAAGGGGUUGAGCAUACAAACACAUAAGCGCAUCGCAACCUCUGCUUUCAUCUGCGAAGGGCCUAUAUUUACUUUUAUGUAUCUACUUUCAUGCAAGCGUCAAAGUUUUUCUCUCUAUUCCUUUUUAUUUUUCUCUUUUGGCAAGCAUCAUGUGGUGAGGAAAGAUCUAGGCACAUAUAUCCAGUUGGAUAUGGGUAGCAUGAGUUAUUAUUGUUGACAUAACCAUUGAGGUGAAUACGUUGCGAGGCGAAAUUAUAAGCCCUAUCUUUCUAUGUGUCUAGUUGAAACGUUUUGUUCAUGUGUAUGCUAUGAGAAUUAGCAAUCAUAGAAGACUAUAUGAUGGUUGAGUAUGUGGAGCUCUUACUUAAACUCUGUUUAAUAAGUUGAAUUGCAAUUGCUUGGUGACUGAGAACAUAGGUUGUUGAGUUUCAAGAAAAUUCAUUGUUUGAACCUUAACAUGUGAAUUGGUUCCUACUUGGUCGUGAGAAGUUUUAUAAGAAAGAAUUGUUAUUAUGAUGCUAGGAAAAGUGAUUGAAAUUGUCAUUGAUCAAAUUUGUGCACUUUUCUAGCAUUCACACUUCAUAAAUUAUUUGUUUAUCAUUUACCUACUCGAGGACGAGUAGGAAUUAAGCUUGGGGACACUACUAGGGAAAACCUUAUACACAGAAUCUUACCAGCAACGCUCUUCAAAAUAUGACGCUACUUCUAUUUAGCAGCAGCGCCUGCCAGUAAAAUGCGCUGCUGAAAGAAAAAGAGCAGUAGCGCGUCCUCUCUAAACCGCGCUACUGCUCUAAUUGCCAUGACCUCGCCGUCAAGCUAGUUAUAGCAGUAGCGCCCUAUCCUGUACCGUGCUACUACUAUAGAUGUUAGCAGUAGCGCAUUUCUAUAAAGCUCGCUACUGCUAAGUUCAGUCCAAAAGUUUAGUCCCACCUCGCUCCGCGAACAGGGUGUUUACCACCUUAAAUAUGUUAUUUCUCAAACUAUCACAACCACUUGGUCUUCACUGAACUCUAUGUGUAGAAUUUGUGGCCGCAAUAUGAGUCUUCUUCGGUUCCUACCGGAGAGGACUCAUAUUGACAAUUCAGAUUGUACACAAAAAGAUCAUUGAUGACCAAUGUAUUUUUGCAGUGGCAGACAAUGUAUUUUUGCUUGCUUACACUUAGUAGUAGCGCUUUUUAUAGUAAGGCGCUACUGCUAGCCAACUUAGCAGUAUCGCUUAUCCUCGCCCAGCGCUACUACUAUUCUCCUUAGCUGUAGUGCUUUUUCAGACCCGCGCUAUGACUAACCCUACCUUAUCCCCCCCACGCGGCCGACCCUCUCUCUCACUCACUCUCCCUCAGUCACUCUCGCCCGCGCCAAUACCCAUCGUCGUCUGUCGCUGCCGCCGCCGUCGUCCGACGCCACCAAGGUACUCCCUCCUUCCGUCCCUCCUCCUCCCACCGCACCCUCCCCCCUCCUCCUCCCACCGCGCCCUCCUCCCUCCUCCUCCCUCCNNNNNNNNNNNNNNNNNNNNNNNNNNNNNNNNNNNNNNNNNNNNNNNNNNNNNNNNNNNNNNNNNNNNNNNNNNNNNNNNNNNNNNNNNNNNNNNNNNNNNNNNNNNNNNNNNNNNNNNNNNNNNNNNNNNNNNNNNNNNNNNNNNNNNNNNNNNNNNNNNNNNNNNNNNNNNNNNNNNNNNNNNNNNNNNNNNNNNNNNNNNNNNNNNNNNNNNNNNNNNNNNNNNNNNNNNNNNNNNNNNNNNNNNNNNCGGACUAUCAUCAUCAUCGACCGGACUCCAAGACUAUGAAGAUACAAGAUUGAAGACUUCGUCCCGUGUCUGGAUGGGACUUUCCUUGGCGUGGAAGGCAAGCUUGGCGAUACGGAUACGUAGAUCUCCUACUAUUGUAACCGACUCUAUGUAACCCUAGCCCUCUCCGGUGUCUAUAUAAACCGGAUGGCUCUAGUCCGUAGGACACAACAACAACCAUUACAAUCAUACCAUAGGCUAGCUUCUAGGGUUUAGCCUCCUUGAUCUCGUGGUAGAUCCACUCUUGUAAACAUCCACAAUAUCAAUAUCAAUCAAGCAGGACGUAGGGUUUUACCUCCAUCAAGACGGCCCGAACCUGGGUAAAACACUGUGUCCCUUGUCUCCUGUUACCAUCCGCCUAGACGCACAGUUCGGGACCCCCUACCCGAGAUCCGCCGGUUUUGACACCGACAUUGGUGCUUUCAUUAGGAGUUCCUCUGUGUCGUCACCGAUAGGCUUGAUGGCCUCUUCAAUCGACAACGACGCAGUCCGGGGUGAGACUUUUCUCCCCGGACAGAUCUUCGUAUUCGGCGGCUUCGCACUGCGGGCCAACUCACUUGGCCAUCUGGAGCAGAUCGAAAGCUACGCCCCUGGCCGUCAGGUCAGGUUUGGAAGCCUAAACUUCACGGCCGAUAUCCGCGGGGACUUGAUCUUCGACGGAUCUGAGCCACAGCCGAGCGUGCCGCGCUGUCACGAUGGGCACGACCUAACUCUACCGCCGGACCGCACCUUGGAGGCCGUACACGAAUCCGCUCCGACCCAUAGUCCGGAGCCGAUCGCACGGAUCGAGGACGGAUGGCUGGACACCGCCUCGGGAGCUGCAACUUCCAUGGCGAUGGAGCCGAACACUUACCUUGUCCCGCAUAAAGCCCAUGACUCCGAGGUACCGGACCCCCUGCCGGACUCCGAACCUCCUGCGCCCCUGCCAGUCGAAUCCGAUUGGGCGCCGAUCAUGGAAUUCACCGCUGCAGACACCUUUCAGCACUCACCCUUCGGCGAUAUCUUAAAUUCGCUGAAGCAUCUCUCACUAUCCGGAGAGCCCUGGCCGAACUACGGCCAGGAUGGUCGGGACGCGGACAAUGAAGAAAUUCAGAGCCCACCCACCACCCACUCCGUAGCCACCGUCGAUGAUCUAACCGACAUGCUAAACUAUGACUCCGAAGACAUCAACGGUAUGGACGACGAUGCCGGAGACAAUCAAGAACCAGCGCCUACAGGGCACUGGAAGGCCACCUCGUCACAUGACAUACAUAUGGUGGACACCCCAAAGGGAAGCGAUAACGAGGAACAACGGGAUGCGUCAGAGGAUAAUCCCGCCGAUAAACAAACAAAACGGCGACAUAGACGCCGCCCUAAGUCCUGCCUCGAUCAAAGCAGCAUUCCUAACGACCCAGCGAUAGAGCAGGGCAAACCAGCGGACGACGAACAUACAACCAAGCAACCAUCCGAACAAGACGAACCGGAUAAUCAACCACUUCACGGAGCAAUCAACAGUCCGGACACAACACCGGAGCAUAAGAACCUUCACAAAAGACUCGUCGCCACUGCAAGAAGUUUGAAGAAGGAAAAACGGAAGCUCAAAAAAAGCGGAAGACAUAAUCAGAAUGAAGUGGAGCAAAGUACUCAAGACCGCAGACAAAUAUGACAAUGGCCAUCAAACUAAGAGCUACCCGAAGUGCAAGUUGCUGCCAGAAUUUGACGAGGAAGCCAUAGAACCCUCACAGUCAAAAAAUAAAGAGGCCGCCUGGCCGGAUAGACGGCCAGAUGAUAGGCCAAAAGUGACAAGCGGCGCCGCACACAAGCCGACUUAUGAUCCUGGGAAAACGGACGGCCCAACUAGGUCCAUCUACGGGCCAAAAAAGAGGGCCCCGGGAAGUAACACAACACGACAAGUGUUCGAAGACAGCGGCACACCCAAAUAUAGGGGCGCCGCACACCCGCUAUGUUUUACCGAUGAGGUGCUGGAUCAUGAAUUUCCAGCAGGGUUCAAACCCAUAAACAUAGAGGCAUACGAGGCACAACAGACCCCGGAGUCUGGAUAGAAGAUUACAUACUACACAUACACAUGGCUAGAGGAGAUGAUCUCCACGCCAUAAAAUACCUACCCCUCAAGCUCAAAGGGCCAGCUCAGCAUUGGCUCAAAAGCCUCCCAGAAAACACUGUUGGAAGUUGGGAAGAGCUUGAGGACGCGUUUAGAGCAAAUUUUCAAGGGACUUAUGUCCGCCCUCCGGAUGCAGACGAUCUGAGUCAUAUAACCCAACAGCCCGGAGAGUCAGCGCGCAAAUUCUGGAACAGGUUCCUUACCAAAAAGAACCAAAUAGUCGACUGUCCGGAUGCGGAAGCCUUAGCAGCUUUUAAACACAACGUCCGAGACGAAUGGCUCGCCAGACACCUCGGCCAAGAGAAGCCAAGAACAACGGCCGUGCUAACAAGCCUCAUGACGCGCUUUUGCGCAGGAGAAGACAGCUGGCUAGCAAGAUGCAGCACCAGCGACCCGAGUACAUCCGAGAUCAGAGAUGGAAACGGAAAAUUACAGCGCAGGAAAGAUCAGCGGCGGAAUAAAUAAAAAAGACCAAAGGGCACAGCGGUCAACGCCGGAUUCAAAAGCUCGCGGCCAAACAAUAAAACACUGCCUCUUAAGGACAACAGCGACGAGCUAUCAAAUUUAAACAAAAUCUUAGAUCGGAUAUGUCAAAUCCAUAGUACCUCCGGAAGGCCUGCAAACCAUACCAAAAGAAAUUGUUGGGUUCUUAAACAGUCCGGCAGACUCAACGCCGGACACAAGGGGCUCGAUGCGCCAAGCGAGGACGAUGACGAACCCCACCAGCAAAGCACCGGAAGUCAAAAGACUUUCCCACAAGAAGUCAAAACAGUAAACUCGCUUCAUGUGAUAGUACGGAAAACCAACACGGCACUCGCUAAGACAAGUGUCGCACGAUCCACCCCAGCGGAACACCAAGAUUGGAUGUCAAAACCAAUCACUUUCGACCAUCUGGAUUAGUCCAGAAGUAUCCGGAACGCAGGAUAGACUGCCCUGAUAUUGGAUCCCAUAAUAGACGGACUGCAAUUCAUGCAGGUUUUGAUGGACGGCGCCAGUAACUCAAACCUGCUAUAUCCGGACACAAUCCGCAAGUUGGGAUAGACCCUACUACAAUUCGGCAUAGCCGCACUUCCUUCAAAGGAGUGGCGCCAGGCCCUUACACCAAGCGCACAGGUUCAUUAUUACUAGAAGUUGUGUUCGGGUCACCUGACAACUUCCGACGAGAAAAGCUAACCUUUCAUGUCGCCCCAUUUUCAAAUAGCUAUCAAGCAUCACUGGGACGGGAAGCUUUCAUCCGCUUCAAUGCAAUACCACAUUACGCGUCUCUUAUGCUUAAAAUGCCCGGUCCAUAUGGCAUCAUUUCAUUAAAAGGUCGCCUGAGACCCCGGACACGGCUGGACGAGUCCGGAACAAAUAAGCUAGGGGCUACCUAGCCGCACACCCCUUCACAAGGGUUUGUACAUAUAAGCCAUAAUGAGCUAGCAUAGGCUCAACUUUAUUAAUCUAUAUUUCAAUUUUUUAUGCACUUUCUCGCAUGAUUUCUUUUCAAACUAAGUUCCUCUCUUUUUACAGAUGAACAGCGUGCACACCCGUCCAGGAUACGACACAACGGAGACACAGGCGCAGACGUGCAAUAGGGACCCGUUGCAAGGACUCUUUUCAGACUAAGACCCUACGUAAACCUUUCUUACUGUCUCUUGUUGCUAUAAUCCCCUGGUUUCUCAUUAUAACCAGAGUGGAGACUGGCGUUUUGGCAUCGGCCGCGCUAGAAGAACUUGCCCGUACCUGGACACAAGGGGCUUAGGGCAUUGUUUUGCCCGCUAUUGUAAAGACCGAACACCUUCGGGAGUGUUCGGCAUCUCAAGUUAGGCCUUAUAUGCAUCAGCUCCGAAUCAUGUCUUUGGUCAAAUGUUGGGUUUGCCCGGCUCCUGUGUUUUGCUGCCUUACGUUCCAUAUCACCGGCUAACGCGGCACCAGGAGAACUACUGCGAUUGUGCCCCAGUUCGGCUGGGCGACCACCUCAGUAGAGAAAGCCGAAAACUGACUGUCAUGAUACAGCGAGAGACUGGUCAACCACUCGAUCGACCAUGGGAAUGUUUAGAAUUCCUCCGCUUUGACGAAGGGCCAUUUCCCAGUCAGGCACAUACGCGCCCCAAAUUCGGAGAGCGCGGUGCCCCCAGGGGCUAUGUCGUAGCCCCACCCUCGAACUCCAUGGCUAAGUGAAAGUGAUAAAGCAUUAUAGUCCGGUUGCCUCGUUUGCUACGCUACCACCUCCUUUACAGGACCGAGACGUCGGAUUAAGUGUGAAAACGUGCUUUUUUUGCGAACACCCCCGCACCUAGUGCAUGGGGGCUGAAGCCGACGACUGCCAUCUUUCAGGUUAUACACACAUAUACAUGAACGGCCGCAUAGGAGAUAUUCUAUUACUUGAACGCACAAGUAUAAAAGGCGCUUACAUCAUAAAUAUUGUUUUACAUCAUAAAAACGUUCAUUCGAACGUAACAUUUUUUGAGCACUGCGACUCUAUUACACGAGCACCAUGCAGCACUUCGCCAAAAUAGUGCUCGGCGGGUAAUCGGUUAUCGUCCGAACCCGGGGUCGCAACAGCGGUGGCAUCCAUCUCUGUCCAAUGUGUCUUCACACGGGCGAGUGCCAUCCGCGCACCCUCUAUGCAGGCCGACCGCUUCAUCGCCUUGAUAUGCGGCACCGCCCCAAGAAAUUGCUGCAAUAAGCCAAAGUAACUCUUCGGCUCGGGCCUAUCCGGCCAGACAUGGGUCACUAUAUCUGUCAUAGCAAGCCCGGACAACCUAUUUAGCUCAGCCCACUCGGCCAGACGGUCGGUCAGCGGAAGUGAACACUCCGGACUAUGGAAUUGAGACCAAAACACAUCUUCCGUCUUGUGAUCCUUCUGGCUUUGAAAAUGCACACCGGCAUCCGCCGCACUCGCUGCUAAGUCCAUAUAAGGGUCCUCUGGACCCCACAGUUGGCCCAGCUGAGCAUACUUUGGAUCCAUAAACCUUCGGCGCAGCAGAAAAGGCUUGCCAUCUACAAUAUCUCCGGCCUGGCGCAGCUCUUCCUUUAUAGCCCGCAUUGCAGAGCGGGCAUCCUUGGCUUCGGCGGUGGCCUUCCCCAGGUCUUCUUGCCCCGCUAGGCGCUCCUUCCCAAGAGCCUCAUUGCGGUCAGUAGCAUCUUUUAACUUCACGGCCAUUUCGGCCAUCUCUUCCCUGCUCCGGCAGUGUGCGACCCUUUCGGCCGCUAACUCCUCGGCCGCCCUUGAGGCCGCCGCAUUACUCCUUCUGGCCUGCUCCUUGGCUUGAGCAAGUUCGGUCCGAAGGCUCUCCACAGCAGCGGCACUAUCUGCAUUUCACACACAUGUUGUAAGGAGCUGGCUUCGGCUCCCUUACCAAGUGACCGCACAGAAACACUUACCUUGUGACUCAUCAAGUCGCCUGUUGACCAGCGUGAUGUCCGCAUCCGCAACAGCGAGUUGCCGCUUUACUUCAGCAACUCCAUCAGUCCGGCUGGCCCCCGGACGACCUGCCACCUGCAUCGGCACGGCGGAAAUUUAAACCUGCGAUUUUGAUCCUCGGCAUGCUGUCGAUUUCGACAACCUACCGAGUCUCAGGGGCUACUAUCUAUACAGGGCGCAUUCUAUAUGCAAAACUGUUAAAAGGUGUGUCAUUUUUACGUACCUCAAACCCCGCCAGCAAACUCCUGACGGCAUUAUGCAACCCGCCUUUGGCGGACGAAAUCCUUUCAAUCACCAUGCUCAUCAAUGCGUGGUGAUUUUCUGAGAUAGACGCCUUCUCAAGCAGAUCCUUCAGCCGUACACCAGUUGGCGCCGAACUAUCCGGCUUUGCCAAACCAGGGGGCUCCCUCCGUGACGACACUUCAGGCUCGUCCGCCCUAUCCGAUGGCGCUCCGGACGGAGGCGUCUCGCUCUCCAUCAUCUCCGGACGAAGGUCCCCCGAAGACGAGCUCAUUUGCGAAGGACGGAGAUCCGAACUACAAGGUAAAAACUUUAGUUAUCCUCAGAAGCACAAAUAGGGAUGUCCCUUAUUAUAAAACUCCUUUCUUUCUACUUACGGCUUGUUGGAGGGCUGAUUCUUUAAGGGAGAUUGUGCGGCCGGGGCCUCCCCGGACGCAGGACCCUCUGGCGAAGAUUUCUUCCCCCGUUUAGGGGCUUUUGCCCCCGGGUCCUCAGAGGCAGUCCUCUUCUCCCCUUGGAGGGAGGGAUUCUCGAUCCCCCCUCUUUCAAGAGCCUCCUUAGGUGAGGCAGUAGCUUUCCUGCUUCCCCCUUCGCCUUCCUCUGGAGGCGCAACCUCAAGCAUCCGGACCAGCACGGAAUCCGGUGCGGUCUCGGGGAGGGGGGCCGGACACCAUAUCAAUUUUGCUUCCGCUAUCCACUCCUGUUUAGAAAGAAGUUGGUCAUAAGGCGAAUCAUCGAAAGGCAAACAAACGGUAUGUCCGGACUUGGAACUACUUACUUGAGUAUCCAGGCGAUUGCAGCUUAGGCCAACAUCCUCGGUCAAUUCCGGAUGCGCCUCUUGCGAUCCGAAGAAUAAUUUGUACAUCUGUAGGGGUGUCAUACCCAUGAAGUGUUGAAGAAUCCGUGGGCCCUCCGGAUUGAACUCCCACAGCCGGAGAGGGCGGCGUUUGCAAGGCGGGAGACGCCUAAUCAGCAUAACCUACAUUACCACCACCAUAUCAACCUCCCUCAUUUGGAGAUCUCGAAUCCGGCCCUGCAGUAGGGGCACGUCCUUUGACGACCCCCAGUUGAGCCCUUGGUUGAUCCACGACAUCAACUGUCGUGGAGGUCCCGGGCGGAAUAAGGGCGGCGGCUUUUGUCUACGUCCCCUCGGAACGGUAAUAUAGAACCACUCUUGCUGCCACGGGCCGAGCUCCUCUUGGAAGGAGCCAGCGGGCCACAGGGCAUCGGCCCUCCUACUUAUGGCCGCCCCGCCGCACUCCGCUUGACGCCCCCCGAUCAUCUUCGGCGCCACAUUGAAGGUCUUCAGCCACAGGCCAAAGUGAGGGGUGACGCGGAGGAAGGCUUCGCAGACGACAAUAAAUGCGGAAAUAUGGAGGAUGGACUCCAGAGCCAAAUCGUGGAAUUCCAACCCAUAGUAAAACAUGAGCCCUCUCACAAAAGGAUCCAUCGGGAAGCCUAAACCCCGACGGAGGUGGGAUACAAAAACGACAUACUCGCCGGGCUCGGGGGUAGGGAUGGCCUGCCCUUCGGCAGGCAACCUGUGCGAAAUCUCAUAAGCCAGGUACUUGGCCUCCCGCAGCUUUAGCACGUCCUCCUCCGUGACGGAGGAGGGCAUCCACCAGCCCUGGAGGUUGGAACCGGACAUCAUUGAAGGUCCGAAGUGCUCCAAUCUGGAGCUCUAGGUGCUGCAACUUGGAGCGGGGAGAGGAUUUGAUGGAAGAUUGAAGAAAAGAAACGAGCCUUGGUCCCGUUAUAAAGAGGGAGAAUACCGAGAGCCGUCUCCGUGACCGUUUGGGACUCGCCUUCGAUAGAGGGGGCGUGGCGACGGGCGCGGUUGGGUUACCCACGUCCGUAUUGAUGAGAAUCCCGGAUUAAGGGGGAACACGAUCUCUGCUUCGACAAGACGUGCCAAGGAAACCGCUUCGCUAAAUGCGCUGAGGUGGUAGAGUAAAAAACGAUUCAAGUAAUGGCUUGGUAGUGGCGUGACGUCAUGCCGCAAAAAACGUCAGCAGAUUGAACUUGUGUAUAUAUUAUUCUCUCUACGGUGGAAUGUGGAAUUUAUUUUGCAGAGCCGAACACUAUCCCGGUGUUCACAAUCUUCUAUCAUUCGGAGGAGGAACCCGCCUUGCAAUGCCAAGCAAUAUACGCGCCGGACUUAUCGUCAUUGAAGCCUCGUUCAGGGGCUACUGAGGGAGUCCCGGAUUAGGGGGUGUCCGGAUAGCCGGACUACCAUCAUCGGCCGAACUAUCAUCGGCCGGACUAUCAUCAUCAUCGACCGGACUCCAAGACUAUGAAGAUACAAGAUUGAAGACUUCGUCCCGUGUCUGGAUGGGACUUUCCUUGGCGUGGAAGGCAAGCUUGGCGAUACGGAUAUGUAGAUGUCCUACUAUUGUAACCGACUCUAUGUAACCCUAUCCCUCUCCGGUGUCUAUAUAAACCGGAUGGCUCUAGUCCGUAGGACACAACAACAACCAUUACAAUCAUACCAUAGGCUAGCUUCUAGGGUUUAGCCUCCUUGAUCUCGUGGUAGAUCCACUCUUGUAAACAUCCACAAUAUCAAUAUCAAUCAAGCAGGACGUAGGGUUUUACCUCCAUCAAGAGGGCCCGAACCUGGGUAAAACACCGUGUCCCUUGCCUCCUGUUACCAUCCGCCUAGACGCACAGUUCGGGACCCCCUACCCGAGAUCUGCCGGUUUUGACACCGACACCCUCCUCCUCCGGCCGCCCCCUCCCCCUUCACUCUCCUCCCUCCCUCCCUUGUCUUUGUUCUUGCAAAUCAUAGGUAAUUUAAAAUAGAAGUAAGAAAAUUUAGGGUAGAACUAGGGUAGUAGAAUUUUUAGCAAGUGUUCGAUAGAAAUAGUUUAUUUAGUAAGUGAUUAAUAUAACUAGUUUAUUUAUAUUAAGUGAUUAAUAGAACUAGUUUAUUUAGUAAGUGCUUAACAGAACUAGUUUACUUAUACUAAGUGCUUAAUAGAACUAGUUUAUUUAGUAAGUAGUUAAUAAAACCAGUUUAUUUAGCAAGUGUUUAAAGAAAUAGUUUAUUUAGUAAGUAGUUGUAACUAGUUUACUUUUUUUUCAUAUUUUCAACCAUUGAAAUGCAAUGACCAUCGAUAAGUGGCCUAUGUUUUGUCAGAGUGUUGAUUAAUUUCUGUUCCGGGAAAUUUUAGGCGCUCGAUAUGUCUUUUUUUAGCAAAGGUCAUGCCGGAUUUUUUGGGUUUUGCCGUCGAGUUAUAAUCUUUGAAUUUUGAACACAGGAGAUGUCUGAUGACGAUGGGAUCCCGGAGUGCGGGUACUGCUACGAUGACCGGGGUGUGUGCGACAGGUUUCCUCACCUGCAAAAUGAUAGGUUUUUCACCAUGAAGCUGGAAGAGACCUUUGAUGUUUGUAUGGUACGCAACGACAAGAAUUUCAUCAUAAUUAAUAUCAUCACUUGUGCUUCUUUUGUUUAACGUGUAAUUUAUGGAUUUUUUUUCAAUUCGAUUAGUACAUCCCGUGCCAUGCUAGACCAUAUGUAUUGGAGAAGCUUGGUUUUGGUUUAGAUGACUUUGAGAAUGUGGAGACGAGGAGGGCUCACUUAAGAACUAAACAUGGUUAUGAGUUUCUGGUUAAGUUCUACAAUGCAGUCGAUCGCUCCCAUUUCGGUUGCUCUAAUUGGGAAGCUCUCUGCAAGGCAUAUGGAUUUGAGGAGGGAAUGCAAAUAAGAUUUGAUAUUCGUCCCGAAGAUUAUUAUGAUGAUGAUGAUAAUAUCGACAUCUGGGUGGAUGUGGAUAUGCCUCCAGUUUUACCUAGAUGUGAGUUUGUCAAACUAAUUUGUUCAGUAAUUUAUGUUGUUAAUUUAAAAAUAUUUGGUGUUCGCCCGUACUAAACUUAUUUAUUUAUAAUUGUCAGCUUAUUUCUUAUCUUCAAGAAAUACUCAGAAGGUAGUAGACAGCACAUACUACAGCUAUGACUCCAAGCUUAAUUGUGAGGAGAAAGGUUAUCCUGUCUCAUUCAUAGAAGAUGUUGAGGCCUUCAAAACCAGUCACUCUAUCACCCAAAUUAUACUAGAUAUGUGCCACUAGUCCAUAAACUGCUUCAUGGUAACUUCAUUGCCAAAAACUUGGUAAGAUUUUGUUAAUGAUGCUAACUUCAUUGCAUACAUUAUUAUUAAGUAAACUACAUUGCUAACUAUAUAUGUUACUAUUUUGUUUUGGAACAGAGGCUCCCGAAGCAGGUUGUGCCUGACAUGCUAUUUACCGAAGGUGAUAUGCAUAUGGUUAGCUUACGACUAACUCCUUCGAAGGCUUACCAUACUGCAUACUCGAUUUCUUCAAAUGAUGGAAGGCUCAAAAUCAAAGAAUGGAGAAAAGUGAUGAAUGCGCACACGCAAAUAAUUGGAGACAAAAUGAAUGUGCGCAAGCCACAAGUUGGAGAUAGGUUUAUGUCCAUUCUCCAUUAUGGUGAAGGACCGGUUUAUCUGUUUUAUGGUAUUUUAGCUAGGAGAGAGGAGUAGGUCCUAAGUAUUAAGAACAAUUAGUUAGUGUUGAUUAUAUAUGACUACAAUGUCUUAGACUUGAUGGUGAUGCUGAGUAGGAGUAGUGAUUAUGAGUAAUAUGAUGAUGAGGAGGAGGAGUUGUUAUUAUAACUAGUGACAACAUUGUUAUAUGAUGUCUCAUGGACGAAAAUGAUGAUUAUGAGGAGUUAUAUGACAAUGAUAUAUUAUGAUGAUAAGUUGUUAAUGAUAUUAUGAUGAUGAUAACUUAUUAUGCCAUUGGGUGAAAGAACCGCGGAUUAGUUUCAAAUGGAUGGAUCCAAAGUGACCAUUGGUUACUUUGGAUCCAUGCACUUGAAACUAAUCCAAGGUUCUUUCACCUAGUGAUUUAAUAACUCAUUAUGGUGUAAAAACAAUCUCUAAAUUGCUAUUGUAUGAAAAAUUGGAUGCAGGUGUAUGAAUACGACCUAAAAUUCAGAAGAAAUGGAAUACGGAAUAAUAGUAGUAGCGGUUGUUCUCGAAAGCGCUACUAGUAAUUAGCAGUAGCUAUUGACUAGGGAAGCGCUACUACUAAGUAGAUAUAGUAGUAGCGAGUGCCACUAGGCGCUACUGCUAAGCUUUAGUUGUAGCGCCGUAUCAGUAGCGCGCUUACCUGCGCUACUGAUAGGCCAAAAACCAGCGCUACUGCUAGGCUUUUCCCUAGUAGUGGGAUGCUGAUACGUCUCCAACGUAUUGAUAAUUUAUGAAGUAUUCAUGCCAUGUUUACAAUAAUUUUAUAUGGUUUUAGUAUGAUUUGCAUGGAACUAACUCGGACUAGCGUUGUUUUCUGCAGAACUACCGUGGUAUUGUUUUUUGUGCAGAAAUGGAAGUUCUCCAAAUGACCUGAAACUUUUUGAUGAUCUUUUUGGAACAAAAGAGACCCCCGAAGCUUCGUGGGAGGGCCAAAAGAGCCACGAGGAGGGCACAACCCACCGGGGCAUGCCUGGGCCCUUGCCCGUGCCCCGGUGUAUCGUGCUCACCUCGUGGCCCAUCUGGACGUGAGACCGAUGCCAAAAAAUCCUAUAAAUAGAGAAACCAUCAGAAAUAACCCUAGAUCGGAAGUUCCGCCACCGCAAGCCUAUAUAGCCACCAAAAACCAAUCGGGACCCUGUUCUGGUGCCCUGCUGGAGGGGGGGAUCAUCUUCUGUGGCCAUCUUCGUCAUCCCCGCAGCCACCACGAUGAGGAGAAUAGCUUUGCUGUUAUUUUAGUACAAACUCGAGGAUAGGUUGAUCGGAAAGAAUAGCUUUGAGGUGGUUUCGUACCCUACAAACAAUUUUUAUCUUUUGUUCUUCGCUAAUAGGAACUCGGGAGUGAUUCUUUAUUGCACUUUGAGGGAUAAUCAUAUGAUCCAACUAUGUUAGCAUUGUUGAGAGAUUGCACUAGUGAAAGUAUGCACCCUAGGCCUCAUUUUCCAUUAUUGCAAUACCGUUUGUGCUCUGUUUUACUAUUUACUACCUUGCUAUUUUUAAUGUUCGCACUACAAAACCCAUAUCUACUAUUCAUACUACACUUUUAUCACCAUCUCUUCGCUAAACUAGUGCACCUAUACAAUUUGUCAUUGUAUUGGGUGUGUUGGGGACACAAGAGAUUUCUUGUUUUUGAUUGCAGGGUUGCUUGAGAGAGACUAUCUUCAUCCUACACCUCCCACGGAUUGAUAAACCUUAGGUCAUCCACUUGAGGGAAAAUUUCUACUGUCCUACAAAACUCUGCGCUUGGAGGCCCAACACGAGUCUACAAGAAUAAAGUUGCAUAGUACACAUCAAAAUCCUAUGGUCGUGACGCAGCGGUGGGCUCGGUGAUGAAAUUCGUCAUGUCAUGUUGGUGGUCUCGGUCUCAUUGUACUGGAAUGGAAACCUUUGCCAGAUUCCUCGGGAACCCACGCCUGCGCUCGCCUCCUUAGGAAACUGCCUUCUCUACACCCGCUGGCGCCCGCCUGGCCUCGGUCGUCAUGUCUUGCAUCAUUGCAACCUCAUGAGGUCGUGUACCUGCAUAGAAAUCUCCGCUCCUCAGGAGGCAGCCUAGGCAGGCCGCUCCCUCGGGAGGUCUUGGUGUCGUCCACCUCGCGAGGCUUGGCCCCUCGCGAGGGUCUUGUCUUGAUUGUCUUGUAGAUGGGCCAUACCAGGCCAUCGAAGGAGCCACACCGUGGCCCGUGGGUAGGCAAGUCUGGGUACCCUGGUUCCCAGAACGCCGACAAGGAUAAUGUUGAUCUGCAUGUUGUGAUGGCUUAGAUUCCUGAAAGGGUGGAUGAUUCCAUGAAUGGACGAUUAUGCUCACCGGUUACAAAUGAGGAGAUUGAAGCCGCAUUACUUAUGAUGCAUCCAUAUAAAUCUUUGGGACCGGAUGGACUAACUAUAGGGUUUUAUAUUAAACAUUAGCAUCUUCUCAAAGAUGACAUUUGUAGGGCUGUACGUCAUUUCAUAGAAAGUGGAGAAAUGCCUGAUGAAGUUUAGCACGGUCUUGGUUUUGAUCCCAAAAGUAAAAUCCCCUUAAGACUUAACUCAGUAUAGACCAAUUUCUUCAUGUAAUGUUCUUUACAAAAUCAUGUCCAGUAUGCUUGCUCUUAGACUGCGACCAAUAAUAGAUGAUAUUGUCUCAGAAGAGAAAAGUGUAUUUAUGGCAGGGAGAAUCAUUACAAAUAAUGUGCUUACUACCUACAAAUGUAUCCACUGUCUGAAAGGAAGAAAGGAAAAUUUUGAGCCUAUACGGUCAAACCAGGCAUGGCUAAAGCAUAUGAUAGGGUUGAAUGGUGCUUCUUGAGAGCUAUAAUGCAGGAAUUGGGGUUUGUCGAUAUAUGAGUAAACAUUGUCAUGAAGUGUGUGGAGACAAUAUCCUUCUUUGUUCGUGUUAAUGGAGUCUUUUAUAAAAUAUUUAGACCAUCUCAAGGUCAGACCACGUGACCCACUAUCUCUGUAUCUCUUUUUGAUCUGUGCAGAAGGGCUCUCAUGUAUGAUGAAGUCUCACUGCCCUUGGAUCUUGCACUUCCUAUUCGUGGAUGAUUGCAUUGUUUACACAAGAAACGGCUGAGGAGGUAACUCAGAUUCAAGAGGGUUUAGAAAGGUACAGAGUGGGAUCAGGACAAUUGGUUAACAAAAUAAGUCUCAUGUGUUCUUUAAUGCAAACUCUGAACAUGAGAAGGUUGUUUUUCGCCAAAUCUCUGAUAUUCUAGUGCAGGCCUUUUGGGAAAUAUUUGGGACUCCAAACUUCUUAUUUUUUGCGGGACAAACUUCCAAUCUAUUCAUCUUCAAUCAUGGUAGUACAACAAACACUACAAAUAAUAAAAAUUACAUCCAGAUCGGUAGACCACCUAGCGACGACUACAAGCACUGAAGCGAGCCGAAGGCGCGCCGCUGUCAUCGCCCCUUCCUCACUGGAGCCGGGCAAACCUUGUUGUAGUAGACAGUCGGGAAGUCGUCAUGCUAAGGCCCCGUAGAACCAAUGCACCAGAACAACAACUACCGCAGACAAAUAGUGUAGAUCAAAAGGAUCCAACCUGAAAACACACGAACAUAGACGAACGAUGAACAGAUCUGAGCAAAUCUACCAAAGACAGAUCCGCCAAAGACACAACUCCACACGCCCACCGAUGAUGCAAGACGCAUCACCGGAACGGGGGCUAGGCAGGGAGACCCUUAUUCCAUCUUCAAGGAGCCGCCACCGUCUCGCCUUCCUGAGCAGGACACAAACCCUAACAAAGCUUGAAAAAAGAUCUAAAAACGGAGCCCUCCCACCGGCGAGGGCCGAGAUCCACUCCGCCUCCAUGGCCAUAGGGCCACCGGAGACGGGAUGGACCGGCACCGGCGCCGGUGGGAGGCGGCGGCUAGCUCCACUGCUUGUGUUUAUUUUUUGACAUGCACUAGGAAGAUCCAUGGAUUAAUAAUGUUAACAUAUUCUCGUGAGGAUUAAGAAACUUGUGAAAGGUUGGGCACCAAAGCUUAUGAACAGUGCUGGCCGGGAGGUACUUAUUAAAUAUAUAUGUGAAGAAAUCCCAACGUACUCUAUGAGUUUCUUCUGACUAUCCAAAAACAAGUGUCAAAAAAUCAUAAAUAUUAUCGCAAGAUACUGGUGAGGAGUAGAUGGGGAUAAGAAAAAAACGCAUUGGAAAAGGUGGCCUGACUUGGCGGUCCCAAAAUCUGAUGGGGGUAUGGGUUUCAAAGACAUGGAGCUGUUCAAUAAAGUAAUGAUUGCCAAGAAGGCUUGAUGGCUAGUGGCCUAUCCAUAAUCCCUAUUAGAGGCUAGGGCACCACCUGGUAGCACCUCCUGAGGCGGGCCUAUGCGCACUUACCUUGUAUUCACACAUUCAGCUUCAAUGUUUGGUUCUCAGUUUCAUUCAUGUACAUUAAUAUGGGUGUAUGCUACAAUAUUAGGAUCUCUUGCUCUCUUAGAUAUAGCCAUAUGAAAUAUUCAUUACAACGAUUCCUUGAUGGAUUUGGCAACUCAAGAGUGGAGCAGGAAAACAACUUGGUUUAAUAUUAACUAUUUGUUGGUUUGAAGCCUACCCAAAUUGCUUUCAUGCCGGACAGGAACAUCCUUGAAGGGGUUGUGGUCCUUCAUGAAACGCUCCAUGAGAUCCACACGAAAAAACUGGAUGGGGUUAUUUUCAAAGUGGAUUUCAAGAAAGCGUAUGACAAAGUCAAAUGGCCCUUCCUUCAACAGGCCUUGCGCAUGAAGGGAUUCGAUGAAGCUUGGCGACGCCAGGUAGAGUCCUUCACGCAAAAAGGUAGUGUUGGAAUUUAAGUGAAUGACAAUAUAGGUCAUUAUUUCCAGACACACAAAGGCCUGAGACAAGGUGAUCCGACGUCUUCUAUUUUGUUCAACAUUGUGGCGGAUAUGUUGGCAAUUCUUAUAGGAAGGGCAAAGGAGGCCGGUCAGGUGGGUGGCUUGGUGCCUCAUCUGGUAGAUGGGGGUGUCUCUAUUCUGCAAUACGCUGAUGAUACAAUCAUCUUUAUGGAGCAUGACUUGGUAAAAGCGAGAAAUAUGAAGCUGGUGUUAUGCUUAUUUGAACAAUUGUCCGGAUUAAAGAUUAACCUUCACAAAAGCGAGUUGUUCUACUUUUGUAGAGCCAAGGAGGAACAAGAGGCUUAUAGGCAAUUGUUCGGAUGUGAAUUAGGGGCUUUACCUUUUACGUACCUAGGUAUACCCAUUCACCAUCGUAAGCUAACAAACAGAGAGUGGAAGUGCGUCGAGGAUCAGUUUGAGAAAAAACUCAGUUGUUGGAAGGGCAAACUCAUGUCUUAUGGAGGCCGACUGAUUCUUAUCAAUUCAGUGCUCACGAGUAUGCCGAUGUUCCUUCUAUCGUUCUUCCAAGUUCCAGUCGGGGUUUGGAAAAGGAUGGACUUUUAUCGAUCAAGAUUCUUUUGGUGGAGUGAUGAUCUUAAGAGAAAGUACCGUCUAGCCAAAUGGGAUGUAAUCUGUCGACCAAAGGACCAAGGGGGUCUGGGUGUUGAGAAUCUUGAGGUAAAGAACAAAUGCCUUCUCAGUAAGUGGCUGUAUAAGUUAUCUGUUGAGAUGGACGCAACGUGGGCACAGAUUCUUCGUAACAAGUAUCUGCAUUCCAAGACUUUGUCACAGGUGACUGUGAGACAAACGGACUCACCGUUUUGGAAGGGGCUUAUGAGAGUUAAGGCUGCCUUCUUUAAUAGAACAAAGUUUAUCGUCGGUAAUGGUAACAAUACCCAUUUCUGGGAGGAUACUUGGCUUGGUGAUACGCCAUUGGCGUUACAGUACCCGUCCCUGUAUCAUAUUGUUCAACGACGUGACACGCUGGUUGCACUGAUUAUGCAGUCUGUUCCCCUUAAUAUCCAGUUUCGGAGGGUGCUUAUUGGUGAUAGGUGGGAAGCUUGGCUUCAUUUGGUGACUAGAUUGAUGGAGAUUCAAUUAGAUCAUCAACCCGAUCAAUUGUGUUGGAAACUUACUAGGACUGGAGUGUUUACGGUUAAGUCGUUGUAUAUCGAUGUCAUUAACUCUAGUGUCCUUCCUAGUUCCAAACAUGUUUGGAAAGUUAAAGUUCCUUUGAAGAUUAAAGUGUUUAUGUGGUUUGUACAUAAACAAGUCAUUUUAACAAAGGACAACUUGGUUAAGCGCAAUUGGACAGGCUCUACUAGGUGUAGCUUCUGUGAUCGGGACGAGACCAUUAAGCAUCUCUUCUUUGAGUGCCCGUUGGCGAGAGUCUUGUGGCGCACGGUGCAAAUUUCCUUUAACAUUACUCCCCCGGACUCGGUAGGUUCGUUGUUUGGAACGUGGCUUGCUGGGAUAGAGUCCAAUACCGCUGGACACAUUCGUGUUGGAGUAUGUGCGUUGUUAUGGGCAAUUUGGAAUUGCAGGAAUUAUUUGGCUUUUAAUAGAACAACAACUAUUCAUUUUUUGCAGGUUUUAUUCCGCGCUACGGCGCUGAUCCGUUUGUGGUCCUUACUCACUCUGAUGGCGGCCAGGGAGCGUUUGGUUACUGGGUCUGUCCGGUGGGAGAUGGUUGCGCGGGAUAUUUUCAACCGGUUUGGAUGGUGGUCAUGUAAUAGGAUAGGCGAUUAGUUUUCCUAUCUUUAUUCUGCCAGCCGGUUGUGGCUCUGUGGCUUUUUGUCUAUUUGUGUUGAGGCUCUGUGUGAGCUUCCCUUUAUUUUCUUUUCCAGACUUUGAGAUAUUGUCGAACCUAUUUAUUUAUAAUUCUGGCCAUAUGCAUCGCUCUGAUGCAGAGGCCGGGGAGCCCCCCCUUUUUCAAAAAAAAAAUUAACCAUACAAACGAAGAGAAAAGAUGAGAAACAUAAGUAGACAUUCCAUAUUUUUUUUAAUGAGCAUUUUCUGGAAGUAAGAGCUAAGUUGCCCACAUUCAUAGCCAUCAUCUCAUCCCGAGCAAUCUAUAAAAGCAUUAUUAAGAUGUAGUUAGAAGAAAAUAAUCAUAAGCAUGUGCAAACCAAAAUAUCAAUUGGAAUAUCUUUUAACGAAACUAUAUCAAGACUAUGCCCUAUCUACCUUUUAUGGCAUUUUAUCUAGAUUCUUAUGGAGACACUCAGUGUGUAGUACAACCUAAUUAACUUCGCCUAACAGAAGCCUUGUUUCUUGCUAUAACUUGCCGCUGGCCACCAGGUUCAUAUAGCAUAAUAAUGGAAGAAAAGAAACCAGUAGUCCGGUCAACAUAGCUUAUGAACUGCAACUAAUAGGUGUAAUCCCAACAAGUAUUAAAAUGUGAUUUAUAGUUUUAUCGAUGUUUUGUGACCUAAAUAACUCAAAAUGUGAGUUAUAUGCCACAAAGAGCAUGCCAUUGGAUGCAUAUUUCAAUGAACUUUCCAAUGAUAUAUUUUUGAUGACGUAUAACUCACAUAUUAACAAUGAACAUAGAAGAAACCACCACUAGAUCCUGAGCAGGUUUAGCCAUGAGGUUACACAAACAUUGCAACACCAAAGUACUUGCGUAAAAAUGAACAGCCAAAAGAAACAUAGCUCGACUUCACAGAGGCUGCAGAAAACAUCCCCUCUUCACCGUCUUGCUGCUCGGAGGACUACUCUUGGCAGCAUGAAAAAACAAAAGAGGGCACAAUAUAAGAAGAAAUGCAGACUCCUCUAUCAAGAACAAUUAGUGUGAUGAACAUGCUUAUGUCAUCUAAGUCUGCCUAGGAAGACCGUGCGACUGCAAAACAUAUCGCAAUGUACAUGAGAAUAAAACUUAACAUAGAAUCAUAAAACUUCAAAAUAUUAUGAGCACGGCAAUGCUAAACCUUUUAUGUGUAUAGAUUGAUUAUAUUAUCAGAAGAAAAUAAAUGGCUGAUGAAUUUAUAAUUUUGGUAUUUGGGGAACUCAAAAACAAAAAAAAAUGUAAUGGUAGGAUAUUAGAUUAACAAUGUAGGAGUAAUCUCGAUGUGGCAUUAGUAGGCCUCCUUAGGAGAAGAAACUACCCUUGGUAUCAUUCAGAUAUGGGAGACAACCGAGUCUGAUUUGAAAUCGGAAGCAAAAGUGAAUCUAACUCACCUCGACAACAAUUGUAUGAUCCAUCCACAUCUCAAAAACUAUAGCAACACGAGAAGCCGGCACAAGUUGAUCCUAUGCCCUCGAAGAUACAUUUCCAUCAGUGAAUAUCGCUUUGCGACACACACUCAGACAUCCAAUAGAUUGAACGUGCAUGUAGAAUCAUAAUUGCAGACUGGAGGUUAUCCACUUCCAAUGAAGAGUAAUGUAAGGUCACAUUUUUGGUACAGAAAAGAUUCCCACAAAUAUAAUAUCAGACAGUUCAUCUACAACUUCAGUAACAAAAUCUCUAAUAGCUAAAUAUAAUAACAACACUAUUACUUGCAGUGGCCAAUAAGAAACUCAUAAUUCUAAUAACGUUAAAAACGAAGCAGAGCUUGCAGCUGGACUCAAAUUCUUUGCUCAGAAAUGAUGAUUUGCAACUAUUGCUCAAUUCCAUGAAACACAAUGUUACUAAUCAAUAAAAAGUAUCCAUUGCAGUCCACAACGCUUUGCAGAGGACAAUUCAUGGUCAUCAGUAACACUAGAAUAUUAUAGAUGAACAACGCAAGAGAAACAAAAUGAAUAAGCUCGUUGUUAUAUUGCACCAUUUAAAUUAUCUGCUUCCUUUCACAGAAUAUACAUUUGUAAGUGGUACUAUACAACAUAGAGAGAACUAUCCUUGGUCCUAUGCAAAUAUAAGUGAAUGUGAAAUCUGAUCUGCAGUAGAAUAGAAUUCAGUUAUCACCUCAACCCAUCUUGGAAGCAACUACAAUCACAAAUAACAAUUCCUUGAGGUGUUUUUAAAGUUGUAUAAUUUGCAUUAGGCAAUCAUGUGAGUCUACUAUAAAAUAAGAAAAAUUCAGCAACAUAGUUAACAAGCCUAGUUAGAGACUUGAUAACAGAAGAAAUAUUUUCAACAAAGUUCAGGUAAUCAAAGUAUGUUCAGGAAUUUGUCACUAAAGUGACAAUGCGAUGCCAUCUCACAUUCAUAUUUACAGCAGGUUGGGUCUAGAACGUGGAAGUUCAAGGGGGGUCUAAAUCGUGUAAGGUUGCCUACUGUCGGGCUAAAAAUGAAAUAAAAAAUAUGGUGUUUAGCAAGCAUGUAGAUUAAAGAAUAUGCAACUUCAUAUCCCAAUAAAACUGUUGAGUUCCUUACUGAAACAUUAAAAGACCUAACAGGACAGUCACCACUAUAAAACAUUGGAAUAUAUCAUUUGUUUUAUAGUGAUUACCCCUUUUUCUCGAGUAGCUAUGGGCACCUCUCCCAGGUUGAACCUCCUUACUAAAAUCAUUCCUUACCUUAGCCUUUGUACCUUCCAGGAAAAUAGACUAAUAAUAUGAUUACUCGGAAUUAAAGAUAUUAUUAGGGGGUUAUUGCAAUACGAAGCUAAUAAUGAUACACAAAAAGACUGGAUUCAUCUUACUAAAGUUGGGCUAUGAGUGUAACGUGAAUGAACCCGGGUUGUGGGACAUGGAUGUAUCGGUGCCAGUGGUCGGAGCUAUUUUAGGCGAUCUGCCAAACCCGUUAUCAUAAUAAAGCUAUGCUUUAACCCUAAAAAUAAGUAUGGGAAGCUCGCGCUCGUCCCAUAUCUUUGUCGGGAUGGUAAACAGAAUAAGUAAAUGAUUACUUAAGCAAUUCACUACUUGCUCCAGCGCCCACUGCCUAAAAGAUCGCAGCUUCUCAUCUAAAUCAUGCCAACAGCCACAUCUAUAUUUUUUUAUGCAUUUUGGUAUGAUUGAAGAAAACGCUCAUGGUAGUAUAAGAUCCCUUCCGGCCUCUUGCUCCAAUAAAACACACAUUGUAAUUAAAACAACAAUGACUUCCGCAGAGCAACGUAGAAAUGAAUAUAUAGGCCAGUAAGUCCAAAAAAUAACCAAAUACAAGGAUCUUAGUCAUUUUUCUACCUGCAACAGAAUGUGGUGACCUUGGUCUCCAUGAUCCUUGACAUCACAGCCAUGGAGACAGAAACAAUCAGCUACUCGACAAAAUGAAGGUAGUGGUCUGACGUCGAGAAAGAGAGGAGGGUCCGUAACACAUGCCUUCUUAAAUUUCAUCAAGGUUUUAUCGGUACAAUAUAACAUAGAUCAUGAAUAUAAUCCAAAUAGGCAACCAGUAGCAUGUGGGACGGAAAUAACUAUUGGCACAUGACAGCUAGAGCAGCAAAGAAGAAACAUGGCUUAUUUGCUUACCUAUUUUGAAUUACUUUCACUCAAAUCUGUAAGAACGCAACUUUUUUAACCCCUGGAGACACCCUUGUAAUCGACGACCACAUGAGUCCUGCCAUAAUGCCAUUAAUUAGAUUAUGCCAUGACCUGCUGUAACACAUAGGGGAAAUAAUAUUCAUACUUGAACAUGACUGAGAGGCUGAAGAGGGAUUAGUUAAAAUAGCAAUCUAAUCCAGUGGCUAUUUUAGGCAUUGCCACAACAACCUGCAUUUCAUCAAACAGGUAGUGUGCAUUUAAUUCAUAUUUCUCUGACUUCCAAAUCGAAUCGAAUCAAAUCCAACACACACACACACACACACACACACACACAAAGACAUAGAAGAGAAGGGGAGGGCACCUUGUCCAUGGCUGCAUCACCAAGGCUAGAGCAUCUUGUCCAUGGUGUCCUCAAGAGGAACCAGGGUUGUGGGCGUGCCGAAUCUGAGCCUGCGUUGGAUCCGGACCUGUUGCUCGACUUGGGGAGAGGGGGAGGGGAGGAGGUCAUCGAUGGUGAGGACAAGGUAAAGGAAGGAUAGAUGGGGUGGGAGCAUCAGCCGUGAGGGAGGGUGUAGGUGGUGGCAGCGGCUAUGGGAAGGUUGCCAGUGGCAGCGACGGCGGAAGAGGAGGAGGAGGGAGAGGAAUCGAGGGAUGGGAAGCAGCGGCUGGGCAAUGUCUUUCUCUGUUUUUUUCACUUUCUACUGGAUGAGACGAACGACAUGGUGACCCAGUGGGGCAGCGAAGGAAGCAAAUCACCAAUCGUUUUUGGCCGGUAGCUAAUCCGACGUGUACAUGGCGAGAAGGCGCCAUUGACGCGUAGCUUAAUGGGUUUGAUGUGCUCAAACUCUAAGAGGGAAGUACUACCAUGACACACAUUUUCUGGAAGCCACAAAAAAAGGAAUUCCUCUCACACUUGGCGUGCUAUCCUGUAUGGGAGGGUGGUCGUCGGCCAUGGUCUCAUUAAAAGAAUUGGGGGAUGGUGUGGAUACUCGGAUUUGGGAGGAUCCUUGUAUUCCUAGAAACUUGAACUACAAACCCAUUGUGUCGGUGGGAAUGACACCUAUGGGAUCACGGGAAUCCCUACAACGGUUGCGGGGCACAGGGUCGCGAGAAGAGCGGGAUUAGCAAUCAGCACAAGCACACGGGUUGUUUACCCAGGUUUGGGCCGCGAGGAUGCGUAAUACCCUAGUCCUGCUUUUGUGUCUAUUUGAGUGUUCUUGGAGUUCUUGAGCUAGCUACGAUGAGUGUAACUUGUCCAUGGGUCCGAAUCCUUCUCCUGGAUGCCUCGAGCCUCCUUUUAUAGUCAAGGGGGUCGCCACAGUGGCACACAGGAGGUGGCAUCGGUGUACAGUGGCUAAGCUUAUCGCUUAGCCAUUACGGGAGAAGACGCAUUUAAUGUGCCCCUUAGGUGUCCCCCUCACUUUACCAUCGCCACGCCCUGCUUCGACACGCGCCCAGGCCAGCGAGGCGGUCAGCGCCAUGUAGGUGGGCAGGCUACUGAGGUGGCGCGAUGGUAGGGCUUUCACGAAGAUUUGCAUGCCACCACGUAGGCAUGCACUGAGUUGGCCUGGAAGCCUCAUGUCGACACGCAGGUGCCUGCCUAGCUUGUGCGCUGGCAGCUACAUGGGAGUGGCGGUGGAACCUUGGUGAAUGUGGGCCUGGUUGUGGCUCCGCGGAUGACCUUGGCAAGGGCCUUACCGGGGCCCCCAGCAAGGGUCUUGCCGCGGCACCGUGGUCGUCCCCGGCAUGGAUCUUGCCGGAGGUCUCGUGGAUGCCCUCGACAAAGGUUUUGUCGAGGCUCAUCGUCUGCUACGUCUUGAGCUUGCGUUGGUUUUCCUUGAAGACGAAAGGGUGACACAGCAAUAGUAGCAUAAGUAUUUCCCUCGGUUUUUGAGAACCAAGGUAUAAAUCCAGUAGGAGGCUCCUCAAAAGUCCCACGCACCUACACAAACAAACAAAGAACUCGCAACCAAAGCAAUAAAGGGGUUGUCAAUCCCUUCACGGCCACUUGCAAAAGUGAGAUCUGAUAGAGAUAGUAUGAUAAGAUAAAUAUAUUUCUGGUAUUUUAUAAGAUAGAUGCAAAAAGUAAAGAUGCAAAUAAAAGUAGAUUGAAAGCUUAUAUGAUAAAAGAUAGACCCGGGGGCCAUAGGUUUCACUAGAGGCUUCUCUCAAGAUAGCAUAAGUAUUACGGUGGGUGAACAAAUUACUGUCGAGCAAUUGAUAGAAAAGCGAAUAAUUAUGAGAUUAUCUAGGCAUGAUCAUGUAUAUAGGUAUCACGUCCGCGACAAGUAGACCGACUCCUUCCUGCAUCUACUACUAUUACUCCACACAUCGACCGCUAUCCAGCAUGCAUCUAGAGUAUUAAGUUCAUAAGAACAGAGUAACGCAUUAAGAAAGAUGACAUGAUGUAGACGGAUAAACUCAAGCAAUAUGAUAUAAACCCCAUAUUUUUAUCCUCGAUGGCAACAAUACAAUAUGUCCCUUGCAACCCUUUCUGUCACUGGGUAAGGACACCACAAGAUUGAACCCAAAGCUAAGCACUUAUCCCAUGGCAAGAAAGAUCAAUCUAGUAGGCCAAACCAAACUGAUAAUUCGAAGAGACUUGCAAAGAUAACUCAAUCAUACAUAAAAGAAUUCAGAGAAGAUUCAAAUAUUUCUCAUAGAUAAACUUGAUCAUAAACUCACAAUUCAUCGGAUCUCGACAAACACACCGCAAAAAGAGUUUACAUCAAAUAGAUCUCCACAAGAAAGGGGGAGAACAUUGUAUUGAGAUCCAAAAAGAGAGAACAAGUCAUCUAGCUAAUAACUAUGGACCCGAAGGUCUGUGGUAAACUACUCACAACUCAUCGGAGGGGCUAUGGUGUUGAUGUAGAAGCCCUCCAUGAUCGAUUCCCCCUCCAGCGGAGCACCGACGAAGGCUCCAAGAUGGGAUCUCGCGGAUACAGAAGGUUACGGCGGUGGAAAUUGUGUUUCGAUGGCUCCCUGGAUGUUUUCGGGGUACGUAGGUAUAUAUAGGAGGAAGAAGUACGUCGGUGGCCGCUCGUGGGGCCCCAGAGACAGGGGGCGCCUAGGAGGGGUGGGCGCGCCCUCUAUCUCCUGGCCGCCUCAAUUGCUUCUUGACUUGCACUCCAAGUCCUCUGGAUCACGUUCCUUCCAAAAAUCAUGCUCCCGAAGGUUUCAUUCCGUUUGGACUCCGUUUGAUAUUCCUUUUCUUCGAAAUACUGAAAUAGGCAAAAAACAACAAUAUGGGCUGGGCCUCCGAUUAGUAGGUUAGUCCCAAAAAUGAUAUAAAUGUGUAAAAUAAAGCCCAUAAACAACCAAAAGGGGUAAUAUAAUAGCAUGGAACAAUCAAAAAUUAUAGAUACGUUGGAGAUGUAUCAAGCAUCCCCAAGCUUAAUUCCUGCUCUUUCUCGAGUAGGUAAAUGAUAAAAACAGAAUUUUUGAUGUGGAAUGCUACCUAGCAUAAUUCUCAAUGUAAUUUUCUUUAUUGUGGCAUAAAUGUUCAGAUCCAAAUGAUUCAAAAUAAAAGUUCAUAUUGAUAUAAGAAAUAGUAACACUUCAAGCAUACUAAUCAAAGCAAUCAUGUCUUCUCAAAAUAACAUGGCUAAAGAAAGUUCAUCCCUACAAAAUCAUAUAGUUAGGCUAUGCUUCAUUUUCGUCACACAAAGAUGUUCCCAAAUUCUACACCCCCGAUGAUAAGCCAAGCAAUUUUUUCGUACUUAAAUAAUCUCAAACUUUUUCAACCUUCACGCAAUACAUGAGUGUGAGCCAUGGAUAUAGCACUAUGGAUGGAAUAGAAUAUGAUGAUGGGGAUUGUGUGGAGAAGACAAAAAAAGAGAAAGUCUCACAUUGACGAGGAUAAUCAACGGGCUAUGGAGAUGCCCAUCAAUUGAUGUCAACAUGAGGAGUAGGGAUUGCCAUGCAACAGAUGCACUAGAGCUAUAAAUGAAUGCUCAACAAAAGAAAACUAGUGGGUGUGCAUCCAACUUGCUUGCUCACGAAGACCUAGGGCAUUUGAGGAAGCCCAUCGUAGGAAUAUACAAGCCAAGUUCUAUAAUGAAAAAUUCCCACUAGUAUAUGAAAGUGACAACAUAUGAGACUCACUAUAUGAAAAACAUGGUGCUACUUUGAAGCACAAGAUAUGAGACUCACUACAUGAAGAACAUGGUGCUACUUUGAAGCACAAGUGUGGAAAAAAAGAUAGUAACAUUGCCCCUUUUAUUUAUCUUCUUGUUUUUUUUGUUUUUUUUCCUUUUUUUCUUUGGCCUUUCUAUUUUUUCUUUUGGCCUUUCUUUUUUUUCCUUUUUUUUCUUUUUUCUUUUGGGAAAUGCUCUAAUAAUGAUGAUCAUCACACGUUCAUUGAUUACAACAUAUGAAUUACAAGUCGAAACUAGGACAAGAUAUGACUCUAUAUGAAUGCCUCCGGUGGUGUACCGGGAUGGUGCAAUGAAUCAAGAGUGACAUGUAUGAAAAAUUAUGCAUGGUGGCUUUGCCACAAAUACGAUGCCAACUACAUGAUCAUGCAAUGGCAAUAUGACAAAAGUAAUGUGUGUCAUGAUGAUAAAUGGAAUGGUGGAAAGUUGCAUGGCAAUAUAUCUCGGAAUGGCUAUGGAAAUGCCAUAAUAGGUAGGUAUGGUGGCUGUUUUGAGGAAGAUAUAAGGAGGUUUAUGUGUGAUAGAGCGUAUCGUAUCACGGGGUUUGGAUGCACCGGCGAAGUUUGCACCAACUCUCAAGGUGAGAAAGGGCAAUGCACGGUACCGAAGAGGCUAGCAAUGGUGCAAAGGUAAAAGUGCGUAUAAUCCAUUGACUCAACAUUAGUCAAAAGAACUCAUAUACUUAUUGCAAAAAUUUAGAAGUCAUCAAAAAUCAAGCACUACGCGCAUGCUCCUAGAGGGAUAGAUUGGUAAGAAAAGACCAUCGCUCGUCCCCGACCACCACUCAUAAGGAUGCACAAGCCAGGUACACUUCAUGUUUCAAAUUUGUUACACAACUUUAACCAUACGUGCAUGCUACGGGACUCGCUAACUUAAAAACAAGCAUUCUUUAAAUUCAUAAUUACCCACCUAGCAUGACUUUAAUAUUACUACCUCCAUAUCUCAAAACAAUUAUCAAGUAUCAAAUUGAUCAUAGCAUCUAAUUCACUUCCUAUGUAGUUUUUAUUAUACCCAACUUGGAUGCCUACCAUUCUAGGACCAAUUUAUAACCAUAGCAAAUAUCAUGUUGUUCUAAAAGACUCUCAAAAUAAUAUAAGUGAAGCAUGAGAGACUAGCAAUUUCUAUAAAAUUAAGCCGCCAUCGUGCUCUAAAAGAUAUAAGUGAAGCACUAGAGCAAAAACUAUUUAGCUCAAAAGAUAUAAGUGAAGCACAUAGCAAAUUCUAAUAAAUUCAAUCAAGUGGGCUUCUCCCAAAAGGUGUGUGCAGCAAGGAUUAUUGUGGUAAACUAAAAAGCAAAGACUAAUAUAAUACACGACGCUCCAAGCAAAAUACAUAUCAUGUGGCAAAUAAAAAUAUAGCUCCAAGUAAAGUUACCAAUGAACAAAGACGAAAGAUGGAAUAGUUGGGGAACGUAGUAAUUUCAAAAAAAAAAUCCUACGCACACGCAAGAUCAUGGUGAUGCAUAGCAACGAGAGGGGAGAGUGUGUCCACGUACCCUCGUAGACCGAAAGCGGAAGCGUUAUGACAACGCGGUUGAUGUAGUCGUACGUCUUCACGAUCCGACCGAUCCAAGUACCGAACGUACGGCACCUACGAGUUCAGCACACGUUCAACUCGAUGAAGAUCCCCAGACUCCGAUCCAGCAGGGUGUCGGGGAUGAGUUCCGUCAGCACGACGGCGUGGUGACGAUGAUGAUGUUCUACCGACGCAGGGCUUCGCCUAAGCACCGCAACGAUAUGACCGAGGUGGAAUAUGGUGGAGGGGGACACCGCACAUGGCUAAGAGAUCUCAAGGAUCAAUUGUUGUUGUCCCUAGAGGUGCCCCCUGCCCCCGUAUAUAAAGGAGGAGAGGAGGGGGAGAGGGUCGGCCCCUAUGGCGUGCCCUAGAGGAAUCCUACUCCCAUCGGGAGUAGGAUUCCCCCCUUCCAAGUAGUAGGAGUAGGAGUCAAGGAAGGGGGAGAGGGUCGGCCCCUAUGGCGUGCCCUAGAGGAAUCCUACUCCCAUCGGGAGUAGGAUUCCCCCCUUCCAAGUAGUAGGAGUAGGAGUCAAGGAAGGGGGAGAGGGAAGGGAAGGAAGGAGGGGGCGCAGCCCUUCCCCCUAGUCCAAUUCGGACUAGGCCUUGGGGGGGCGCGCGGCCUGCCCUAGGCAGCCCAUCUCUCUUUCCCGUAUAGCCCAAUAAGGCCCAAUACUUCUCCCCGGCGAAUUCCCGUAACUCUCCGGUACUCCGAAAAAUACCCGAAUCACUCGGAACCUUUCCGAAGUCCGAAUAUAGUCGUCCAAUAUAUCGAUCUUUACGUCUCAACCAUUUCGAGACUCCUCGUCAUAUCCCGGAUCUCAUCCGGCACUCCGUACUCCUUCGGUACAUCAAAACUCAUAAACUCAUAAUAUAACUGUCAUCGAAACCUUAAGCGUGCGGAUCCUACGGGUUCGAGAACAAUGUAGACAUCACCGAGACACGUCUCCGGUCAAUAACCAAUAGCGGAACCUGGAUGCUCAUAUUGGCUCCCACAUAUUCUACGAAGAUCUUUAUCGGUCAGACCGCAUAACAACAUACGUUGUUCCCUUUGUCAUCGGUAUGUUACUUGCCCGAGAUUCGAUCGUCAGUAUCUCAAUACCAAGUUCAAUCUCGUUACCGGCAAGUCUCUUUACUCGUUCUGUAAUACAUCAUCUCACAACUAACUCAUUAGUUGUAAUGCUUUUAAGUCUUAAGUGAUGUGCAUUACCGAGGAGGGCCCAGAGAUACCUCUCCGACAAUCGGAGUGACAAAUCCUAAUCUCAAAAUACGCCAACCCAACAUGUACCUUUGGAGACACCUGUAGAGCUCCUUUAUAAUCACCCAGUUACGUUGUGACGUUUGGUAGCACACAAAGUGUUCCUCCGGUAAACGGGAGUUGCAUAAUCUCAUAGUCAUAGGAACAUGUAUAAGUCAUGAAGAAAGCAAUAGCAACAUACUAAAUGAUCAAGUGUUAAGCUAACGGAAUGGGUCAAGUCAAUCACAUCAUUCUCCUAAUGAUGUGAUUCCGUUAAUCAAAUGACAACUCUUUUGUCCAUGGCUAGGAAACAUAACCAUCUUUGAUAAACGAGCUAGUCAAGUAGAGGCAUACUAGUGACACUAUGUUUGUCUAUGUAUUCACACAUGUAUUAUGUUUCCAGUUAAUACAAUUCUAGCAUGAAUAAUAAAUAUUUAUCAUGAAAUAAGGAAAUAAAUAAUAACUUUAUUAUUGCCUCUAGGGCAUAUUUCCUUUAGGGAUGCCUUCCCGGGGCAUCCCCAAGCUUAAGAUUUUUGCUACUCUUGAAUAUCUUGGGGUGCCAUGGGUAUCCCCAAGCUUAGGCUUUUGCCACUCCUUAUUCCAUAGUCCAUCAAAUCUUUACCCAAAACUUGAAAACUUCACAAAACAAAACUCAACAGGAAAUCUCAUAAGCUUCGUUAGUGAAAGAAAGCAAAACCACCACAUAAGGUAUUGUAAUGAACUCAUUCUUUAUUUAUUUUGGUGUUAAACCUACUGUAUUCCAAGUUAUCUAUGGUUCAUACCACUUAAUACUAGCCAUAGAUGCAUCAAAAUAUGCAAACAAUACACGAAAAACAGAAUCUGUCAAAAACAGAACAGUCUGUAGCAAUCUGUAACUAACGCAAACUUCGGGAACUCUAAAAAUCCUACCAAAAUAGGAAGUACUCAACAAUUUGUUUAUUGAUCAGAAGCAAAAAUAAUCAAUGCAAAAUCACGUUUCUGUCAUUUAUUGAAUUUUUUCUUGUGAGCGCAAAGUUUCUGUUUUUCAGCAGAAUCAAAUCAACUAUCAUCAUAGGUUAUCCUAUAGGUUCUACUUGGCACAAACACUAAUUAAAACAUAAAAACACAUCUAGACAGAAUAUAGAUGCAAAAUUUAUUACUAAACAGGAACAAAAACAAAGAACACAAAGAAAAUUGGGUUGCCUCCCAACUAGUGCUAUCGUUUAACGCCACUAGCUAGGCAUAAAAGCGAAGAUAGAUCUAAGUAGUGCCAUCUUUGGCACUUGAUUCAUAAGUAGCUCGCAUGGUAGAUUCAUGAGGUAAUUUAACUUUCUUUCUUGGAAAGUGUUCCAUGCCUUUCUUUAAUGGACAUUGGAAUCUAAUAUUCCCUUCCUUCAUAUCAAUAAUCGCACCAAUCGUUCUAAGGAAAGGUCUACCAAGAAUAAUAGGGCAAGAAAGAUUGCAAUCUAUAUCAAGAACGAUAAAAUCUACGGGCACCAAAUUUCUAUUUGCAACAAUGAGGGCAUCAUUGAUCCUUCCCAUUGGCUUUUUAAUGGUGGAAUUCGCAAGGUGCAAAUUUAAAGAGCAAUCAUCAAGAUCAUGGAAACCUAGAAUAUCACAUAAAGUUUUCAGAAUCGUGGAAACACUAGCACCCAAGUCACACAAAGCAAAACACUCAUGAUCUUUAAUUUUAAUAUUUAUAGUAGUUUCCACUCAUCAUUAAGUUUUCUAGGUAUUGAAACUUCCAAAUUAAGUUUUUCAUCAAAAGAUUGCAUCAAGACAUCAAUGAUAUGUUUGGUAAAAGCUUUAUUUUGACUAUAAGCAUGAGGAGAAUUAACAACGGAUUGCAACAAGGAAAUACAACUUUCUAAAGAACAAUUAUCAUAAUCAAAUUCCUUGAAAUCCGAGAUAGUGGGUUCAAUACUAUUUAAAGUCAUGACCUCUCUAAUCCCACUUUUACCAAAUUUAGCAUCAAGAUCUAAAAACUCUGAAUUCUUGGGACGCCUUCUAACUAAGGUUGACUCAUCUCCAGUCCCAUUAUUAUCAAGAUUCAUAUUGCAAAACAAAGAUCUAAUAGGAGACACAUUAAUAACUUUAAUAUAUUCAUCAUUAUUUUCAUGGAAACUAGAAGAACACGCCUUUACAAAAGCAAUCUUUCUUAGCACGCAAUCUAGCGGUUAUUUCCUUGCACUCAUCAAUGGAAUUUCUCAUGGCUUUGAGAGACUCAUUGAUAUCAUGCUUAGGAGGAGUAGAUCUAAGUUUAAGAGAAUUAACAUCAAGCGAAAGUCUAUCAACGUUCCUAGCAAAAUCAUCAACUUUGAGCAAUUUUUCUUCAGGUAAAGCAUUAAAAUUCUUUUGAGACAUCAUAAAUUCUUUCACACUAUUCUCAAAAUCAGAGGGCAUCUUAUUAAAAUUGCCAUAAGAAUUAUUGUAGGAAUUUUCAUAAUUAUUAGAGGAAUUACUAGGGAACAGUCUAGGAUUAAAGUUUCCUCUAUAAGCAUUGUUUCCAAAACUAUUCCUACCAACAAAAUUCACAUCCAUAGAUUCAUUGUUACUCUCAAUCAAAGUAGACAAAGACAUAUCAUUGGGAUCAAGAGGAGUAUUUUUAAUAGCAAACAACUUCAUAAGUUCAUCCAUCUUUCCACUCAAAACAUUGAUUUCUUCUAUAGCAUGCACUUUUUUACUAGAAGAUAUUUCGAUGUGCCAUUGAGAAUAAUUAGCCAUAAUAUCAUCAAGAAGUUUUGUAGCAUCUCCUAACGUGAUUUCCAUAAACGUGCCUCCCGCGGCCGAAUCUAAAAGAUUUCUAGAAGCAAAGUACAAGCCGGCAUAAAAAAUUUGUAUGAUCAUCCAUAAAUUCAAACCAUGAGUAGGGCAAUUGUGAAUCAUCAAUUUCAUUCUUUCCCAAGAUUGGGCAACAUGCUCAUGAUCAAGUUGUUUAAAAUUCAUAAUAUCGUUCCUAAGAGUGAUAAUCUUAGCGGGAGGGAAAUACUUAGAGAUAAAAUCAUCUUUGCACUUGUUCCAAGAAUUAAUACUAUUUUUAGGCAAAGACGAAAACCAAACUUUAGCACGAUCUCUAAGUGAAAACGGAAAUAACUUCAAUUUAACAAUAUCAUUAUCCGUAUCUUUCUUCUUUUGCAUAUCACACAAAUCAACAAAGUUGUUUAGAUGAGUAGCGAGAUCUUCACUAGGAAGGCCGGCGAAUUGAUCUUUCAUAACAAGAUUCAGCAAAGCAGUAUUGAUUCACAAGACUCAACAUCAUUAAGAGGAGCAAUCGGAGUACUAAGGAAAUCAUUAUUAUUGGUAUUGGAGAAAUCAAACAAUUUGGUAUUAUCUUGCGCCAUGUCAACAAGUAAUCCAACACACAAGCAAACAGAAAAAAAGGCAAGCAAAAGAGAGAGAGAGAGAGAGAGAGAGAGAGAGAGAGAGAGAGAUUGGGAAAGAGAGGGCAAAUAAAAUGGCAAGGGUGAAGUGGGGGAGAGGAAAACGAGAGGCAAAUGGCAAAUAAUGUAAAUGUGAGGGAGAUGAGUUUGUGAUGGGUACUUGGUAUGUAUUGACUUGAGCGAAGACCUUCCCGGCAACGGCGCCAGAAAUCGCACGUUGGCGGGAGGUCGAAUCUUGACUUGACUUGGUGGAAGCCUCCUCGGCAACGGCGCCAGAAAUCCUUCUUGCUACGUAUUGAGCUUGCGUUGGUUUUCCUUGAAGAGGAAAGGGUGAUGCAGCAAUAGUAGCGUAAGUAUUUCCCUCAGUUUUUGAGAACCAAGGUAUCAAUCCAGUAGGAGGCUCCUCAAAAGUCCCACGCACCUACACAAACAAACAAAGAACUCGCAACCAACACAAUAAAGGGGUUGUCAAUCCCUUCACGACCACUUGCAAAAGUGAGAUCUGAUAGAGAUAGUAUGAUAAGAUAAAUAUAUUUCUGGUAUUUUAUAAGAUAGAUGCAAAUAAAAGUAGAUUGGAAGCUUAUAUGAUAAAAGAUAGACCCGGGGGCCAUAGGUUUCACUAGAGGCUUCUCUCAAGAUAGCAUAAGUAUUACGGUGGGUGAACAAAUUAUUGUCGAGCAAUUGAUAGAAAAGCGAAUAAUUAUGAGAUUAUCUAGGCAUGAUCAUGUAUAUAGGCAUCACGUCCGCGACAAGUAGACCGACUCCUGCCUACAUCUACUACUAUUACUUCACACAUCGACCGCUAUCCAGCAUGCAUCUAGAGUAUUAAGUUCAUAAGAACAGAGUAACGCAUUAAGAAAGAUGACAUGAUGUAGAGGGAUAAACUCAAGCAAUAUGAUAUAAACCCCAUCUUUUUAUCCUCGAUGGCAACAAUACAAUACGUGCAUUGCAACCCUUUCUUUCACUAGGUAAGGACACCGCAAGAUUGAACCCAAAGCUAAGCACUUCUCCCAUGGCAAGAAAGAUCAAUCUAGUAGGCCAAACCAAACUGAUAAUUCGAAGAGACUUGCAAAGAUAACUCAAUCAUACAUAAAAAGAAUUCAAAGAAGAUUCAAAUAUUUCUCAUAGAUAAACUUGAUCAUAAACCCACAAUUCAUCGGAUCUCGACAAACACACCGCAAAAAGAGUUUACAUCAAAUAGAUCUCCACAAGAGAGGGGGAGAACAUUGUAUUGAGAUCCAAAAAGAGAGAAGAAGCCAUCUAGCUAAUAACUAUGGACCCGAAGGUCUGUGGUAAACUACUCAACACUCAUCGGAGGGGCUAUGGUGUUGAUGUAGAAGCCCUCCGUGGUCGAUUCCCCCUCCGGCGGAGCGUCGGCGAAGGCUCCAAGAUGGGAUCUCGCGGAUACAGAAGGUUACGGCGGUGGAAAUUAUGUUUCGGUGGCUCCCUGGAUGUUUUCGGGGUACGUAGGUAUAUAUAGGAGGAAGAAGUACGUCGGUGGCCGCUCGUGGGGCCCAGGAGACAGGGGGCGCGCCCAGGAGGGGUGGGCGCGCCCUGCUAUCUCCUGGCUGCCUCGAUUGCUUCUUGACUUGCACUCCAAGUUCUCUGGAUCACGUUCGUUCCAAAAAUCAUGCUCCCGAAGGUUCCAUUCCGUUUGGACUCCGUUUGAUAUUCCUUUUUUCGAAAUACUAAAAUAGGCAAAAAACAGCAAUACGGGCUGGGCCUCCGGUUAGUAGGUUAGUCCCAAAAAUGAUAUAAAUGUGUAAAAUAAAGCCCAUAAACAUCCAAUACGGGUAAUAUAAUAGCAUGGAACAAUCAAAAAUUACAGAUACGUUGGAGAGGUAUCAUCGUCUUCUAACCCUCAUCCAACUCUGUGUGCUUCUUGUCUUCACAAAGAUCUACAUGCCAUCAUGGAGGCGCCUCCCGGGCCUUGGUUCCAAUGUGGUUGUUGGUAUUGGAAGCUUCAGGCUCGAGGGUGGUGCGCCCCGUCGGGGAUGGGCAAGCUGCCCCGGCAAGGUCCUUGUCGGGGCCGUGGAGGCCGCCCCGGCAAAGGUCUUGCUGGGGAACCCACCUCACCCUCUUGCUCUCCAUGUCUCUGUCUUGGCGCUGCUUUGGCCACCUUGUGUCUUUGUUUCCCUGCCCCUGCCCUGCUUUAAGUAUGGCUGUAGGCGUGCCUCUGACUGCCCGUGCACAGGUAGAGGGGUACAAAGGAGUGCUCCUACUUUAGUACACCGACACAUUGUCAGAUGGGAUAAUUAAUUUUAAGCCCCUAGUUGGGUCACACUCGACAAUUUUACCCCUAGUUUGCAAAAACCCUUGGUUUUGCCCAAGCCACUUCACUCCUCUUAUGCUUUUCCUCUUUGACCAUUUGACCAUCACUUUGAAAACUUCAUAAUAACUUAGAAAAGUGCAAAUAAGAUAUCGAAUUGUUCAAAAAAAACAUUACCUAUAUGUGCAUGUUAUUGCAUUCAUGAAAAAAGUGUUGGAAAGUCCCCAUGUUAGUUCAAGCUCAUAUGAUCUUAGCAUAAACAGUAAAAUCUAAUUUUUUGAAGAAAAAAAUCAAAAACUUCUAUAUUUUUUAUGGUAUGAUGUUUUGAGCUCUUGCCAAGUUUCAUCACGGAAUGACAUUCGUGGAAGCCGUGGAAGAAAGCAAAAUCAAUGAUCCAAAACAAAAGCAUUCUGGAGUGUUGAUUUUGUUUUUGCCACGAUUUCCAUGAAUGUCAACCCCGAUGAAACUCUACAAGAACUCAAUUUUUUUUAAUGUUUGCCACAAGAAAAUUAGAUUUUUUUUUCAUUUUUUUAGUUUCUACAGUUCAGGCUGAGAUCAUACGAGCUCAAACUGAGAUGGGGACUUUGCAACACUUUUUUCAUGAAUGCAAAUAACAUUCACAUAUAGGUGAUUUUUUUCGAACAUUUUCAUAUCUUAUUUGAAGUUUUUCUGAGUUAGUAUGAAUCUUUUAUGAAGUUUUCAAAGUGAUGGUCAAACGGUCAAAGAACAAAAGCAUAAGAGGAGGGAAGCGGCUUGGACAAAACCAGGGGGUUUUGGAACCUAGGGGUAAAACUACCGAGUGUGACCCAACUAGGGGCAGAAAAUUACUUAUCCCUUGUCAGAUUACUGUCGACCACAAGGUUGUAAUUGAGGAGCUCAUUGAUCCUAUAUCAGGUGAUUGGAAUACCGAAGCCCUUGAAUCAAAUUUCCUUCCUGUUGGCAGUGUGAUGAUCAAACUUAUUCCAUUGGGAAGAUUAGAGGAGGAUAUGUGGGCACGACAAUAGGGAAGACAUGGCAAUUUUACUGCCAGAUAUGCUUAUCGUGCCAUCUUGGCAAGGAAACCGAACUCAAUUGCAUCUAGUUUGUCUGCAGCUAGUAAUAGUCACUAGAAACGACUAUGGAAAAUGUUGGUUCCACCUAAGGUUCAUAAUUUUUUGUGGAGGGUAAUCAAGAAAUUUAUCCCAUGUCAUUUUUUCCUUCAUAGUAAACAUAUCAAGCCUACCGAGUUCUAUCAUUCUUGUGGAAGAGCAGAGACCAUUGCCCACACACUAUUCGAAUGCACCUGGGCAAAGGUUUUCUAGGAUCAAAUUAUGUAUAUGACAGUGGUAAAACUGCCACAGGUGGGACCUGCCUGGGCUAUUGAUAUGCAUCAUGAUGAUUUGGUUAAAACAAAGAAGGCACCCUUCAUUCUAUGUGGAUCCUGGUCAUUUUGGUCUUCCCAGAACGCAGUUGAACAUGGCGAAAGGGAACCAUUGGUUGCUAGCUCAGUCAAGUUUUUUUUUGAAAAGGAGGAUUACCCCUGGCCUCUUCAUCGAGCGAUGCACACGUUCAUUUUUAUUGCAUUAUUCAACAAGGCCUUACAAAAAAAUGCAUAGAUAAACCCAAAGACACCUUCCUGGUGAAAAUUGUUGCCCUACCUACAAGAUUGAUGAUUUGCCUAACCACACAUUACACACACCAAGAAAUCCGAUGCCUCACCAAGCCUCCCGCUGGCUACCCAGGAGCAUCAACCGGUCUAGCAAACCCUCAACAUGCAUCGCACGUGCAUGUGUGCAUGUUGUAGAAUCUUCAUUGCCUUCUUUCGCAGUUCCAUCUUCAGGAGCAAGCAAUGAACUAAUCUUGCAAGACCCUUAUGCCGUCGACGCCACCACGACGCCGGAUAGCACUAGUCUCCUGCUCACGCCUAUCAAGCGGUAUCCAGCGUCGAGACCCUGUUGCACCUAGCUGCCAAGACUCAUCGACGUUGAUGCUGUAGAUGGCAUGCUGCUCCACCUUGGUCACCGCAUGAGAAGCGUACAAAGAUCAUUGAUGUCACAAUGGAUCUUUCAAUUACUGGAAAGGAGAAAAUUACUACAGUUGUCGGUUCACGUGCUCACUAGAGACCACUAUUUGAAUAUGAUGAUGGUUAAUGUUGAUGCAAGGUUCCUUGAAACAGAUCGUACUGUUGGUACAUGAGCGGGUGUUCGUGGCAUGAUGGAGCCUUGGUCCUUGCCCAAGAUCUUUGGGUUCAGCAAGCACCAAGUGCACUGACGCUGGAGGCCUAUGUAGUGAGGGAUGGAGUAAGUCUAGCUUGUGAUAUAAGGAUUCAGAAUUCGGCGAUUGAAAUGAACACUAAAGGUGUUGUUGACCUAUGAAAAAUGUUGAAAAUCUGAGGGCUGCCUCAGCUUCAAGAUGAACUAUAGGAACAUGUCAUGUGGUGGCUCUAGUACCCACACUCUUGAGGACCUUCACAUACUUGGGAAAUCACUCUUGUGAUGGGGUAACUCAGCCCUUUAUCAUUCAUAACUAUAAACUUGGUACAACUCUUUUGUGGUGGAUACCUCUACCUAUGUGACGCCCCCGAUUCAAUCAUACACUAAUCAUGCACGCAAAUGUGUACGAUCAAGAUCAGGGACUCACGGGAAGAUAUCACAACACAACUCUAAAACAUAAAAAAGUCAUACAAGCAUCAUAAUACAAGCCAGGGGCCUUGAGGGCUCGAAUACAAGUGCUCGAUCAUAGACGAGUCAGCGGAAGCAACAAUAUCUGAGUAUAGACAUAAGUUAAACAAGUUUGCCAUAAGAUGGCUAGCACAAACUGGGAUACAAUCAAAAGAGGCGCAGGCCUCCUGCCUGGGAUCCUCCUAACUACUCCUAGUCAUCGUCAGCGGGCUGCACGUAGUAGUAGGCACCUCCAGGUAGUAGGAGUCGUCGUCGAAGGUGGCGUCUGGCUCCUGGACUCCAGCAUCUGGUUGCGACAACCAGAAAGAAAGGAAGGGGGGAAAAGGGGGGAGAAAGCAACCGUGAGUACUCAUCCAAAGUACUCGCAAGCAAGGAACUACACUACAUAUGCAUGGGUAUAUGUGUAAGGAGGCCAUAUCAGUGGACUGAAUUGCAGAAUGCCAGAAUAAGAGGGGGAUAGCUAGUCUUAUCGAAGACUACGCUUCUGGCAGCCUCCGUCUUGCAGCAUGUAGAAGAGAGUAGAUUGAAGUCCUCCAAGUAGCAUCUCCAAGUAGCAUCUCCAGUAGCAUCGCAUAGCAUAAUCCUACCCGACGAUCCUCCCCUCGUCGCCCUGUGGAAAAGCGAUCACCGGGUUGUCUGUGGAACUUGGAAGGGUGUGUUUUAUUAAGUAUCCGAUUCUAGUUGUCAUAAGGUCAAGGUACAACUCCAAGUCGUCCUGUUACCGAAGAUCACGGCUAUUCGAAUAGAUUAACUUCCCUGCAGGGGUGCACCACAUAACCCAACACGCUCGAUCCCAUUUGGCCGGACACACUUUCCUGGGUCAUGCCCGGCCUCGGAAGAUCAACACGUCGCAGCCCCACCUAGGCACAACUGACAGGUCAGCACGCCGGUCUAAAUCCUAUGUGCGCAGGGUCUGGGCCCAUCGCCCAUUGCACACCUGCACGUUGCGAGGGCAGCCGGAAGCAGACAUAGCCUCUCUUAUACAAGAGUAGGCGUUCCAGUACAAUCCGGCGCGCGCCGCUCCAUCGCUGACGUCAAGAAGGCUUCGACUGAUACCACGACGUCGAGUGCCCAUAACUGUUCCCGCGUAGUUGGUUAGUGCGUAUAGGCCAGUGGCCAGACUCAGAUAAAAUACCAAGAUCUCGUUAAGCGUGUUAUUAUGAAGCAACCGCGAACGCCUACCAGGGCCAGGCCCACCUCUCUCCUAGGUGGUCUCAACCUGCCCUGUCGCUCCGCCACAUAGCAACAGUCGGGGGCCAUCGGGAACCCAGGCCCACCUCUACCGGGAUGGAGCCACCUGUCCUUUCAGCCCCCUUAUCCGAAUCACUUGCGGGUACUCAACGAGCUGACCCGACUUUAGUCACCAUCUGUAGUAUGUAUAUAUGUAUAGUAUACACCCGUGAUCACCUCCUGAGUGAUCACGGCCCAAUAGUAUAGCAAGGCAGACUGACAAGAAUGUAGGGCCAAUGAUGAUAAACUAGCAUCCUAUACUAAGUAUUUAGGAUUGCAGGUAGGGUAUCAACAGAUGUAGCAACAAUGUCAGGCUAUGCAUCAGAAUAGGAUUAACGGAAAGCAGUAACAUGUUACACUACUCUAAUGCAACCAGUAUAGAGGAGAAUAGGCGAUAUCUGGUGAUCAAGGGGGGGGGCUUGCCUGGUUGCUCUGGCAAGAGAGUGGGGUCGUCAACACCGUAGUCGUACUGGGUAGCAGCGGCGUCGGUCUCGGUGUCUAGCGAGAGAAGAGGGGGAAGAAACAAUAAAUACUUAAGCAAACAGAUGCAUAGCGAUGCAUGACAUGACAAGUAACGGUGCUAGGGGUGCCCUAACACGGUAUGAGGUGAUACCGAUGAAGGGGGGGACAACCGGGAAAGUAUCCCCGGUGUUCCGCGUUUUCAGGCAGAGGAGCCGGAGGGGGAAAGUUGUGAGUUUCAUAUGUUAGGGGUAUGCGGCGGACGAACAGGUUCCGUAUCCGGAUUCUUCUCGUCGUUCUGAGCAACUUUCAUACACAAAGUUUUUUCAUCCGAGUUACGGAUUAAAUAAUAUGAUUUUCUAAAGAUUUAAAUCAUUUUCUGAUUUUAAUUAGUUAUUUAAUUCUAACAUUAUCCAAAACAGUGACUGAUGACGCAGACAUGACAUCAGAGUGAUGUCAGCAGGUCAACUGGUCGGUUGACCAGUCAAACUAGACAGGUGGGUCUAGUGGGACCCACAUGUCAUUGUCAGGGUCGCUAACAGGGGGUUUAGUCUAACUAAAUGGGUUAAUUAGUGGGUGGGCCCCAACAGUCAGUGUCUAACUAGGUUUUAGUUAAUUAACUUAAUUAAUUAGUAGUUUGUAUAUUUGUUUUUAUUUGUUUUAUGGCAUGGGGCCCGCAUGUCAGUGGCAGUAGCUGCCACGUCAACACGUUGACUGGGUCAACCCAGUCAACGGGGCCCCCAGGACCCACUGGUCAGCAACACAGAGGCGGGGGCCACUGCGCCACAUCGGCGUCAGUGCCGGAGCGACUCCGGCGACCCAAACAGAGGCGGCCCCCUCGCCGGGGUUGGCCGGAAUCACGCUACGGGGCUCGGGGAGGAGCGGGGCUAGGCACAUUCCAAGGCCCGCGCCGUGGCGCAUUCAAUGGAGGUGGUGGCUUGGUUGGAGGAGGGCCGCAGCGUCGCCGGUGGUGAGCGGGGCGGACGUCGGCGUUCGGCCGCGAGAGGGAAAAGGCGCUGCGGCACGGCAGCAAGUACCCUAAACGGCCAGGAGGCUUCUACGGACGCGUGCGAGUACACGGCCACGUGCCCGGGACCAAAUGAUCACCAGAUGGCUACCGGCGACGAGCGCGUGCGGCGAUGCGCUCGGGCAAGUUGGGGGCGGCGCGUCCAACUAGCGAACGGCGUCGAGAGAGAGAGGGAAGGGAGCGGGGGCUCACCGGGCGGCAACACGGUGGCCCUUGGCGGCUUAGUAGCUGCAGAGGGCGUCGCCGGAGUUGGGGAGGAGUGACGGCGAGGCGGAGGAAGACGAUGACCUCGUCCACGACGAUGCGACGUCGCGGAGCUCGAAUCGACGGUCGGGGACGACGAGGCGGGCGACGAGGGAGACCAGCGACACGUUGGCGCGGUGCGGGGAGGACGACGGUCGUGGUUAGCACGGCGGCGCAGCCAUGGGCGCGCUCGGGCGCCGCAGAUCUGGAAGGGGGGAAGAGAGUGAGUGGGAGAGCGAGGGGCAAGUGGGGAGGGGAGCCCGAGGGGGCGCAGCGUCGGCGCCCUUAUCCUCUCCGGGGCCUGUAGCGGCGCGGGGCGGCGAGCUGGUCCGUCGGCGAUAGCGGGCGCGGUCGGAUGAACAGUGGGGGCGUGGGGAGAAGGUGACAACGGUGGGGAGGUGGCAGCUGGGCCACCUGGGUCGGCCGGGUGCGAUGGAAUGGGCCGAAGCCCAGGGGAAGCCGGGGGUCUUUCUCUUCUUCUUCUUUUUUCUGCUUGCUUUUCCCUUUUGUAUUUUCUUUCUUUUAUUUAUUUUCUUUCUAUUUUAUUUCAUUUUAGGGCAUUUAGGUAUUUUGUAAAAUUGUGCCCACUACACCAUAAUUACUUAUGCAAUAUUUGGCAACCCCCGAACAUUUUUGUUUUGACCUUUGAAAACUUUUGUCGUUUGACUUGUUUAGAAUUUUAAAUUUCAAACGGUUCGAACUAACGCGAAACUAACAACAGUAAUCGUGGUGACGUGGCAUCCUUAGUAGAUGGUUACUGUAGCUUAAUUAUCCGGGCGUCACAAUUCUCCUCCACUACAAGAAAUCUCGUCCCGAGAUUUAGGAGGGGAGUAAGGGGAAGAGAUUGGUUACGAAAUUCUAACGGAUCUUCUCGAUGUUGGUUGCUCUUCUCGAAGAGGUCAAUCCAAUAUAUUGAUGCCUUCAUACUUCUGCUUCAGGUCAAAAUGAUGAAGUCGUCAUCCUGUCUUCGGGAUCUUCAUCGUACUUACGGAAGGAUAUGGGGGAAGGCUCGAGAAGGGUGGGCCUUACCAGGUUGACUAUCUGGUAGAUAACAUCGGGGAAGGUUGCGGAAAGUAACUCUCGGAUUGAACUUAAGAAGAAAUCGAGAGCAAGUAAGAAGGUACCAAGAGAAGUUUCAAGCGGGCAGGCAAUCGUUUGAUGCCUGAAACAGGGCGUGAAAGGUGUUCAGAGCAACGAGAAUAAGUAUUGCGUCUGAUACCAGAAUAGGUCACUAGGAAGGCGGCUCGUGAAUUACAUACGAUGUCACGUGCGAGGAACAACCUUGAGAACAGGGGGUGUACAGGAGAGUCAGGUUUCGAUCCUGUGGAACUGUGGGUUAUGGGCCCACCAUGUGGUUGAAAGCAGGAAGGGGGCCGACAUCUUGCACGGUCACGAUAGUAAGGCGUGUCAGAGGGUAGCCUGUUAAUUAUGUCGGCAACAACAUCGAUACCAAGGGCGAGGGACGAAGAGAACCAUUUUCCUGCUCGUUGAACAAGGCGGGCCAAUAGGCAAGGUUCUCGUCCAUCGGUGGCUACCGAAAUGUCAUCAACAAUAGUAACAGGGUCUUGCUGACAGAAUUGUACACCGAGGUAUAUACAUAAGUAGGAGAAUAUUACUGCUUAGAUCAUAUAGAUCACAAGAAAGGAUAAACCAAACAAUGGAAUGGAAAAUGUGUUUAAACACAUAUAUCAGGGGUAUACCCUUCCCAAGGACAAGCAGAGCAUGAUAUCCUUGGCGGGAUAUAAUGUAGAAAACUCUUUAGGUAGGGGAGAGAAAUUUCAUGACAUUACCCAUACAACGGUGUUUGGAUAAUUGAGCAAGAAACAUUUAGCAUUGGGCUUCAAAGGUUCUUAAGGAUGUUCCAAGUACCAUAGUCAUGCUUCGGGAUAGCCUGGACAUGGUUGUCAAGUAAAGGUAAGACUUUGGAUACACAAAGGAUCCAUCAGGAACAACUCAUAGAAUAAGUCUUACAAUUUCCUCAUGGAAGAAUGGCUAACCUUGCUAAAAGGAAACUAUAACAAUAGGUCCUCCGGCCAGGGGUGCUAGGCAUGAUAUCACCUUACCGGGUCAUAUAAGGACCAAUGUUAUAACUCUUGAAAAUAUGUUCCACCCAUCAUAUCUGACCGAGAUUCAGAUAUGACUAUUAUUAGGAUACCUCAGACUUAGGAUGCCUGAGAAAAGAGGUGCAACGCAAUUUAGACGAGAUGACAUUGCAGAUUCUCGAGAAAUGAACUAUGGAAGCGAGUUCCGAAAUAAGAGUUCAUCAAUAAACCAAGGAGAGAGUGAGGAGUUAGCUGAUAGACUCAGCGACAAUUCAUCAAGAAUUCCAACAAGAUGGAUUUCCACAACUAUGUGAACAAGGAGAUAACAUUAGCCAGAUCAAAUGACUUAAUGAUGUAUGCUGGAGGAAAACAUACACAAUUAAACAUUGACUGGAAGGUGCACCCGAAAUAUGGGCUGGGUUGCACGGCCAACAUUGGAAUGGUGAUUCAAUAAUCAAUAGUCUAAGAAUGAACGGUCGACCAUUAACUUCAAAGUAAUAGGGUUGCUAGAAGGGCGGAAUCCAAACAGCACCGCUCACUUGUUGGUACCCUGGUUGGAAUCAACACGAGGACCCAAGAAAGAAUGGUGAUGGUGAGAAGUAUCACCAUACCAAGAAUUCUUAAGAGGUGGUGAAAUUCCCACGACAUUCUUGACAUAAAAGGUGGUAAUAUUCCAAGGUAAAGAAGAACAAUGCUGGGUAGCAAGGAACUCAAGGUAUAACACAAAACACGAACAAGUUUGUGUUGGAGGGAAGGCAGUAAAGUGGUUGAUGAUAACACAAAUCAUCGAGGCAAGGAUGGUAUUUAUCAUCAUGAAUCCGAUUGAUAUCCUGGAAGAGCUCAUCAGGUUGAUGAUGAUCACGACACAUUUGUUGAGAGGUUACACGAAGAUGUAAUUGAUCAACGAUGACAUCAAGUCAAAUGAAUGAUGAAGCAAAAGGUUAUUGGAACCACGGUUAGGACACAAACUCCAAAGCAAGCUUGUUGUCCAAAGCGAAAUGAUAUGAUGAGGAAAGAUCGACGUAAGCAUAGCUCAUCGUCAAAAAUUAUGCUCUGGGAAGAGGACCAGGUAGCACAGUUAAAAUCGGCACGACAAGGAUAUAGCCAAGCAGGCUAGGAAUGACGUGAUUGAGUUCAAACUCGUAAGUAAUGAAGGUCACCAAGAGUUUCUUAAUCGCGAUGUGGACUCGGGUCAGUUAUCGGUGUCUUUGAGUGUUAAAUAACUCAGAGCCCGUGAAAAAUUGGAAUCAAUGAGAAUGUAGCACUUGAUGAACAACUCAUAAGAAGUUAUGCAGUUCCGUGAUAAUCUUGAGAUACCAGGGGGUAAUACUCGAGGAAAAAUCAAAGUAGAGGUUGGACUGGGGUAUUACUCUACAGAAGACAAGUGCUUAAACUUGCACGAGAAAUGGUAUUUAAAGGAGAACAUGGUCAAAAACCUCGAUCAUAAAUGAUCGAACCACGGAUACAGGAUGAACUUAUAACAAGGGGGUAACUAUUUUUACGAGCAGCUUCCAUGAUAAGUUAUACAUCGUGUCCAUGGGCAUGAACGCAAGGUUCAAGGUCGACUCCCACUUCUUUAAUGUAUAACCUCCCAUUCACUUCUCGCUUUGAUAAAGGCAUUAGUGUUGAAAGUUUUACCUGGUGUAAUACCAGAUGAGUAUGACUCGUGAAAACUUUUGAGUUCACACAUAUUAAGGAAGGCAUAGAUUCAACCCGUCAGGGUAUCGUGGAAACAUAUACCACAAGCUUCAAUAGUAAAUAACACAAGCUCGAUAGUAGAGCAUGGUUGACAAAAAUAGAGGAUACAAUUUACCUAAGGCAUUAUGUAUUAGGGAAAGAACUUCUCGAGGUUUUUGUAUACGAAGGACACUGUCGGAUGAUAUUUCAACAAAGGAUCCGACGGUCCUUAGUGAAACUGAUGUGAGUAUCGGCACACAACCAGAGGAAGAAACAAUGCGAAGGCAUUGGAUUAUAGAAGCAACUGACUAAUUCAAAGCUCACAUAUAAAGGAAUUAUGAUUACCAAAUCAAAGAAUUAGAAGCAAACGCUCUGAUUAAGGAUGGAUGAGUUGAGUAAGCUUAGGGGUAAAGUCGACAACAAUUUGAUAGGUCGAGAUCAAACUCAUAUUUAAAGUGACGUCUGAGUCGGAAAGAUAAUUUAAAAGGAUUAAUUGAUGAUUGCGUGCAUUCGCACUCAUGUUGAAUCACUAGGAUCAAAAUGACGGUGCCUAAGGAUACUAACGAAUAUUGCCAGACAUAUGGAAAGCAUCCACAAUGCAAGCAGACAAGUAUUGCAGAGCAAUAAGCUACUAAGGAUUUUUGGAGGAUCGAAUAGUAUUUCAAAGACCAUUGUGGAACACAUGAACAACGGUGAAAGAACGGAUACUCGGUAAGUGUGAGGAAUUAUCCAUAGGGGGUAUUCAUGUGGCAAAGAUCUGCAAUGCAAUGGCUCAAAAGAUUCUUAAAAGUUGAAGAACAAUUCGAUGCAUCUUGUAAUAACAAGAGCAUCUAGGGAUGAAUGUAAGAAUGGCAAGGGUAAUAAGUUAUCCAUAAGGAUUUAUUGGUGGUAGGGAAUUGCCAAAGAAGUGGGCACAAAGUCUCGAGAGAACUUCAGCGAGUAUCUUCGGAAUCUUCUGGUGUAGCAAACGAUCAUCGGGAGUGAGGGGCUCUCCGGGAGAUAGUAUUUUCGAGAACCUAAAGUUAGUUUUGUUUUUAGCAAAAUCAUUUAACCCGAAUAGAAGAGAGAUAAGAGUCCGAGAGUAAAGGUCGAGGAAUAAAAGAUCCUAAUACCACCAAAUGGUGACGUGGGCCCAUAAGGCACACAGCCAUGUUAGUAAAAGUUUUCGCAAUGUCUAGACUCGACUUUGGCCAAGGAGUUGGAAAGGGGGAUUCCUACAGGCAGUCGGCUCUGAUACCAACUUGUGACGCCCCCGAUUCAAUCGUACACUAAUCAUGCACGCAAAUGUGUACGAUCAAGAUCAGGGACUCACGGGAAGAUAUCACAACACAACUCUAAAACAUAAAUAAGUCAUACAAGCAUCAUAAUACAAGCCAGGGGCCUCGAGGGCUCGAAUACAAGUGCUCGAUCAUAGACGAGUCAUCGGAAGCAACAAUAUUUGAGUACAGACAUAAGUUAAACAAGUUUGCCAUAAGAUGGCUAGCACAAACUGGGAUACAAUCGAAAGAGGCGCAGGCCUCCUGCCUGGGAUCCUCCUAACUACUCUUGGUCGUCAUCAGCGGGCUGCACGUAGUAGUAGGCACCUCCAGGUAGUAGGAGUCAUCGUCGAAGGUGGCGUCUGGCUCCUGGACUCCAGCAUCUGGUUGCGACAACCAGAGAGAAAGGAAAGGGGGGAAAAGGGGGGGAGAAAGCAACCGUGAGUACUCAUCCAAAGUACUCGCAAGCAAGGAACUACACUACAUAUGCAUGGGUAUAUGUGUAAGGAGGCCAUAUCAGUGGACUGAACUGCAGAAUGCCAGAAUAAGAGGGGGAUAGCUAGUCCUAUCGAAGACUACGCUUCUGGCAGCCUCCGUCUUGCAGCAUGUAGAAGAGAGUAGAUUGAAGUCCUCCAAGUAGCAUCUCCAAGUAGCAUCUCCAGUAGCAUCGCAUAGAAUAAUCCUACCCGGCGAUCCUCCCCUUGUCGCCAUGUGGAAAAGCGAUCACCGGGUUGUCUGUGGAACUUGGAAGGGUGUGUUUUAUUAAGUAUCCGGUUCUAGUUGUCAUAAGGUCAAGGUACAACUCCAAGUCGUCCUGUUACCGAAGAUCACGGCUAUUCGAAUAGAUUAACUUCCCUGCAGGGGUGCACCACAUAACCCAAUACGCUCGAUCCCAUUUGGCCGGACACACUUUCCUGGGUCAUGCCCGGCCUCGGAAGAUCAACAUGUCGCAGCCCCACCUAGGCACAACUGAGAGGUCAGCACGUCGGUCUAAAUCCUAUGCGCGCAGGGGUCUGGGCCCAUCGCCCAUUGCACACCUGCACGUUGUGAGGGCGGCCGAAAGCAGACCUAGCCUCUCUUAUACAAGAGUAGGCAUUCCAGUCCAAUCCGGCGCGCGCCGCUUCGUCGCUGAUGUCAAGAAGGCUUCGGCUGACACCACGACGUCGAGUGCCCAUAACUGUUCCCGCGUAGUUGGUUAGUGCGUAUAGGCCAGUGGCCAGACUCAGAUAAAAUACCAAGAUCUCGUUAAGCGUGUUAUUAUGAAGCAACCGUGAUUGCCGACCAGGGCCAGGCCCACCUCUCGCCUAGGUGGUCUCAACCUGCCCCGUCGCUCCGCCACAUAGCAACAGUCGGGGGCCGCCGGGAACCCAGGCCCACCUCUACCGGGAUGGAGCCACCUGUCCUUUCAGCCCCCUUAUCCGAAUCACUUGCGGGUACUCAACGAGCUGACCCGACUUUAGUCACCAUCUGUAGUAUGUAUAUAUGUAUAGUAUAUACCCGUGAUCACCUCCCGAGUGAUCACGGCCCAAUAGUAUAGCAAGGCAGACUGACAAGAAUGUAGGGCCAAUGAUGAUAAACUAGCAUCCUAUACUAAGUAUUUAGGAUUGCAGGUAGGGUAUCAACAGAUGUAGCAACAAUGUCAGGCUGUGCAUCAGAAUAGGAUUAACGGAAAGCAGUAACAUGCUACACUACUCUAAUGCAAGCAGUAUAGGGGAGAAUAGGCGAUAUCUGGUGAUCAAGGGGGGGCUUGCCUGGUUGCUCUGGCAAGAGAGUGGGGUCGUCAACACCGUAGUCGUACUGGGUAGCAGCGGCGUCGGUCUCGGUGUCUAGCGAGAGAAAAGGGGGAAGAAACAAUAAAUACUUAAGCAAACAGAUGCAUAGAGAUGCAUGACAUGACAAGUAACGGUGCUAGGGGUGCCCUAACACGGUAUGAGGUGAUAACGGUGAAGGGGGGGGGGAACAACCGGGAAAGUAUCCCCGGUGUUCCGCGUUUUCGGGCAGAGGAGCCGGAGGGGGAAAGUUGCGAGUUUGAUAUGUUAGGGGUAUGUGGCGGACGAACAGGUUACGUAUCCGGAUUCGCCUUGCCGUUCUGAGCAACUUUCAUGUACACAGUUUUUUCAUCCGAGUUACGGAUUAAAAGAUAUGAUUUUCUAAAGAUUUAAAUCAUUUUCUGAUUUUAAUUAGUUAUUUAAUUCUAACAUUAUCCAAAACAGUGACUGAUGACGUAGGCAUGACAUCAAAGUGAUGUCAGCAGGUCAACUGGUCGGUUGACCAGUCAAACCAGACAGGUGGGUCCAGUGGGACCCACAUGUCAUUGUCAGGGUCACUAACAGGGGGUUUAGUCUAACUAAAUGGGUUAAUUAGUGGGUGGGCCCCAACAGUCAGUGUCUAACUAGGUUUUAGUUAAUUAACUUAAUUAAUUAGCAGUUUAUAUAUUUGUUUUUAUUUGUUUUAUGGCAUGGGGCCCGCAUGUCAGUGGCAGUAGCUGCCACGUCAACACGUUGACUGGGUCAACCCAGUCAACGGGGCCCUCGGGACCCGCUGGUCAACGACACAGAGGCAGGGGCCACUGCGCCACGUCGGCGUCGGCGCCGGAGCGACUUCGGCGACCCAAACAGAGGCGGCCCCCCUCGUCGGGGUUGGCCGGAAUCGCGCUACGGGGCUCGGGGAGGAGCGGGGCUAUGCCCAUGCCAAGGCCCGCGCCGCGGCGCAUUCAAUGGAGGUGGUGGCUUGGUCGGAGGAGGGCCGCAGCGUCGCCGGCGGUGAGCGGGGCGAACGCCGGCGUUCGGCCGCGAGAGGGAAACGGCGCUGCGGCACGGCAGCAAGUACCCUAAACGGCCAGGAGGCUUCUACGGACGCGUGCAAGUACAACGGCCACAAGCCCGGGACCAAAUGGUCACCGGAUGGCUACCGGCGACGAGCGCGUGCGGCGAUGCGCUCGGGCAAGUUGGGGGCGGCGCGUCCAACUAGCGAACGGCGACGAGAGAGAGAGGGAAGGGAGCGGGGGCUCACCGAGCGGCAACACGGUGGCCCUUGGCGGCUUAGUAGCUGCAGAGGGCGUCGCCGGAGUUGGGGAGGAGCGGCGGCGAGGCGGAGGAAGACGACGACCUCGUCCACGACGCUGCGACGUCGCGGAGCUCGAAUCGUCGGUCGGGGAUGACGAGGGGGGCGACGAGGGAGACCGGCGACACGUUGGCGCGGUGCGGGGAGGACGACGGCUGUGGUUAGCACGGCGGCGCAGCCAUGGGCGCGCUCGGGCGCCGCAGAUCUGGAAGGGGGGAAGAGAGUGAGUGGGAGAGCGAGGGGCAAGUGGGGAGGGGAGCCCGAGGGGGCGCAGCGUCGGCGCCCUUAUCCUCUCCGGGGCCUGUAGCGGCGCGGGGCGGCGAGCUGGUCCGUCGGCGACAGCGGGCGUGGUCGGACGAACAGUGGGGGGCGUGGGGAGAAGGUGACAACGGUGGGGAGGUGGCAGCUGGGCCACCUGGGUCGGCCGGGUGCGAUGGAAUGGGCCGAAGCCCAGGGGAAGCCGGGGGUCUUUCUCUUUUUUUUCUGCUUGCUUUUCCCUUUUGUAUUUUCUUUCUUUUAUUUAUUUUCUUUCUGUUUUAUUUCAUUUUAGGGCAUUUAGGUAUUUUGUAAUAUUGUGCCCACUACACCAUAAUUACUUAUGCAAUAUUUGGCAACCCCCGAACAUUUUUGUUUUGACCUUUGAAAACUUUUGUCAUUUGACUUGUUUAGAAUUUUAAAUUUGAAACGGUUCGAACUAACGCGAAACUAACAACAGUAAUCAUGGUGACGUGGCAUCCUUAGUAGAUGGUUACUGUAGCUUAAUUAUCCGGGCGUCACAACCUACUAUCACAUCUCUACCUCUCUCUUGGUAGCUCUUACUUCAUGAUAUAUUGCUUGCUUUCUUGCUUACAGACAUGGGAGGGGUGGCACCCCCAUUUAUUGGAUUACAACACCGUUGGAUGUUUGCCAAGUGGCAUCCAUCCAAGCCCUACACCACAAUUCUAGGGAACUCCAUACAAAUAUCUUAUUUCUAGAUUUCUCUACUAUUUGCCAUGAACCAUGCCCAAUAUUUAUUCUAGAUUGUUCAUGGCAAGUAUCUAGUUUCUAGAUAUUUCCUACUACACUAAAAUAUCUUACUCUAGAAUUUCCAUAAUUCUAGAGUUUUCUCUAAAUAUCUCCAUCAUGGUUAUUCAUGUACCUUGUCAAACCUUCUUCAAAAUAUUUCUCCUUUCUCAUGAAAUACUCCAUAAUAUUGUAGAAGCUUCUUGAAGUGUUCGUUAUAUUUCUAGAGCUUUCCAAGCAUGCAUUGCAUUUCUCAACACUUCCCUCAAUGAAUACUUGUCUGGUGGAUCAUCUCCUUGUUAAUGUCCAUGGAUCUUAUGGGCUCUGCCAUUUCGUAGUUUGUUACUUUCUAGAUGCCAUGGAUAGGACUCUCCUUUCAACUAGUUUGCACCAUUGUUUUCUGUCAUGCAACUUCCUGUCAACUUACUUUUCUUCUUCGCCUUUGUCCACACUUGCUUAUUUGUUGACUCAUUUUCAUAUGGUAAAAUAACUUGAGCAAGUGCAACAUUAGUGUACCUGAUAUUCGGUGGCCUUGAUCUCCAAAAUUCCUCCUUAUGCUCUAUAUAAUCCAUGUUGAUCAUAUCAAGCUCCUUGAGUGUAUGAGGAAUUGAGGAUCCAUACCUUGUAGGUUCUCCUCCUCCUCCUCCUCGACGUGCACCGGUGUAUCUCUUUGAUCAAUCAAUGCUCCAUUUGUAGGUCUGUUGUGCUUUAGCUCUUGUGACUUGUUACCAUUAGAGGGUACAUGCUCUGUCUCAUUUAACUUAGUAUCCUCUUUCCCACUGGCGAGAACUUCUGGGUAUUCUUCACUAUCAUGACCAAAGACCAGAGAUUCACUAAUGAGUUCUUGAUUGUUCACCUCUAUGGAGAAGCGACCUUAUGCAUCCCACCCUUCUUAUUUUCCUUUGGUUUAUUCAUAGGUCACGUCACCAGUUGAUGGAUGCCCACACGAUGUGAGGUAUUCCAUGAAGUAAACUUCUUCAUCCUCGAUGCAAAUUGCUUCCUCGGCAUCCUACUCUUCCUCACAUGGACAUUCCUCCACGACGUCAUUCAUGGUAGUAGCCACAUUUUCUUCCGAGCUUCUUUGGACGCCAACAAUCCCUAGCAAGAUGGCCUUUCUUUCCUCAUCUUCUUUCUUUUAUUAAAGUCAUGUUCAUCUUCUUCUUUGAGCCCCCCCCCCCUGAGUAGUUGCUCUCCUUUGGGCACCACCUUUAACUUAUUUUCCACUUCUCCUUCACAUCUUCUCGACCUCUUAGUGGACUCUUCUUUCUUUUGACAAAGAGCUCCUCCUCUUCAUCUGCCUCUUUCAAGAUGAUCCCGCCCAUCUCCUUAGCUAACGCCUCCUGAUUAGCCAACAAAUUCUCCAACUCAACCAAAGAUGGUUGUGUAGUCCAUCCUCUCAUUGCGGCCAUAAACCCAUGUACUCUGGUAGUAGGUCAUGGAUAAUGAUCCUUCUCAUCCUUGCCUCACUUAUCUUCUCUUCAGGAUCAAGCUGGGAUAUCUCAUGACAAAUAUUCUUUACUUUUGUGAAGUACUGGCUAAUGCUUAGAGUGCCUUGUGAGAUACCAAUGAGCUCAUUUUCUAAGAGCUGUAGUCGCACCUCAUUCUUUCUUGAGAACAACUUUGCCAAAGUAUCCCAAGCCACCUUUGGUGUCUCCGCAUCUCGAAUAUGCUCCACUAGGUCCUCAAUGGUGGUCUUUAAUCCGAACAUAGUAUUUCCUUCUUCGAUGCGCCACUUCCACAAGGCUUCUGCACUCUCUAGAGGAGUAGUUUCGGUGCCUGCAAUGACCUCCCAUAGGUCAUGGCCCUGUAGAUACAACUCCAUGCGGGUCUGUCUAGCCAUAGUUGUGGCUAUUGAGUCUCUUCAAGCAACUUCUGUGCUCAUGAGAUCUGCCAACUCAACUGACGCCUUGUGCCCUUCGCUUAGUCCUAGACUAGCAAUCUUCACAGUCCCAUACUAUGCUCUGACAGAGUCUCCCAUCAGCGCCUCUUAGUGACUCCAAUCAAUGUAAGCACCCGCUCCUUACCGGAGACUUCACCGACCAAUGUAAGUGCCCAACACUCCCUCUUACUCUUCUCUUUGAUCCAUGACCGCCUGCUCGAUACCAAUUGUUAAAAUCUGAGGGCUACCUCAGCUCUGAGAUGAACUGUAAGAACCCGGCGUGUGGUGGCUCUAGUACCCGCACUCUCGAGGACCUUCACAGAUUUGGGAUAUCACACUCUUGUGAUAAGGUAACUCAACCCUUUAUUAUUCAUAAUCAUAACUAUAAACCUUGUACAACUCUUUAGUUGUGGCUACCUCUACCUACUAUGAAAUCUUUACCUCUCGCACUUGGUAGCUCUUACUUCAUAGCUUGCUUGCUUUCUUGCUUACACACAUGGGAGGGGUGACACCCCUAUUUAUAGGAUUACAACACUGUUAGAUGUUUGCCAAGUGGCAUCCAUCCAAGCCCUACAACACAAUUCUAGAGAACUCCAUACAAAUAUCUUAUUUCUAGAUUUCUCUGUUGUUUGCCAUGAAGCAUGUCCAAUGUUUAUUCUAGAGUGUUCAUGUCAAGAAUCUAGUUUCUAGAUAUUUCACACUACAUGGUUUUUCAUGUAGCUUCUAGAACCUUCUUCAGGAUAUUUAUCCUUUCUCAUGAAAUACUCCAUGAUAUUCUAGAAGUUUCUUGAAGUGUUCUUCAUAUCUCUAGAGCUUUCCAAUUAUGCAUUGCAUUUCUCAACAGAAAAACAUGGGUGAAGGAAGAUCUGAAAUUGCUUCCAUCCUGACGGAAAUUGAAGCUAUCUCUGGUGGUUUUCAGAGUUUUGAUUUGGUUCAUGUAUGGCGCGAAGCCAAUCAAUUGGCACGUCUUUAUGCCGGCCAAGCUAGUCUUACUAAGAGAAGAUUCAUGUGGAUUAACUUUAUUCCUAGCUUCCUUACUUUGUGUUUGGAGAACGAUUGUAAACAUUCUGUGUCGUGUGCAAUCUAAGGCACACCUAAAUCCUGCUCUGUACUUCUGCCAGAUUUUCAUGUGACACUACGAUCCAGUGUCCAUCAUCCAAUAAUUUAUGGCCCGUACCGUCAAGUCAGAUACUUCAUCCGACGCUCCCGAUGAAACUUUUUACAUACUACAUAAUUAGAAGCGUCGCAUCCCUUUCCUUGAAGGAGGUGGUGUCAUUGUCAAUUUUGUCAUUACCAAAUUUUCCCCUCAGUACAAAGCAUACAGUGCCACUGCCUGCCGUUAGCAGUGGCGCCAUAAAGACGUGGCACAUGAAUCGCUCCCAUGAACCCGAGCAACCGUCCACUGAGACGAAUCAAUGCGCUAACCUACUGCCCGUUGCCGCUGGCCGGUAGUAGAUCCGCCGCGUUAAUGUCUUCCUUUGAGGAACAGAGAGACGCCUUGCAGCUGGGGCAGAGGAAGAAGACACGGGUGUCAAGGGGCCCCUCCUUAAAUAUCUCCGAGAAAUGGAAGAAUGUGGUGUGUGACAAGCAAACCUACUCCAACAGCUCUCCUCGCAGGGUCACCGCGCAGCCAAAUGAAUUCGCUUCAAUGCGGGCAGAAGCAGCCACCGCAUUUUAUUACCGCUCUUCAGUCUCACUGUUCAACGGUUCAACCCCACAGCUCACCACCCCGAACACGAAAGCUGGGCUGCUGGAGCGUUCAUAAGCAGCAAGCAGAGCUCGCCAUACUCGCUCUCCUCUCACCCUCGGCCUCGCCUCUUCGCCAUGGAUCCUCGCGGCGCGAGAUGGACGGCUCCGUCGCUGUGCCUGGUGCUCGUGCUUCUACUCCAAGCGAGCAUUUCUGCGUGCGCGGGAGGCCCCAAGACUUACAUCGUCCACAUGGCCGCGUCGGAGAAGCCGAGCUCGUUCGAUUUUCAUCACGAGUGGUACGCCUCCACGGUCAAGUCCGUGAGCUCUGCGCAGAUCGAAGCUGAGGAGGAGGAGGAUGCUUACGCGAGGAUCGUCUACAACUACGAGACGGCCUUCCAUGGCUUCGCGGCUCGCCUCGACGAGGACGAGGCCGAGCGGAUGGCCGAGGCGGCCGGCGUGCUGGCCGUGCUCCCGGAGACGGUCCUGCAGCUGCACACCACCAGGAGCCCCGACUUCUUGGGCAUUGGCCCGGAGGUCAGCAACAGAAUCUGGGCCUCCGGCCUCGCCGACCACGACGUCGUCGUCGGCGUGCUCGACACCGGCAUAUGGCCCGAGAGCCCCAGCUUCAGCGACAAGGGGCUCGGCCCCGUGCCGGCCAAGUGGAAAGGCCUGUGCCAGACCGGCCGCGGCUUCACCACGGCCGACUGCAACCGCAAGAUCAUCGGCGCGCGCAUCUUCUACAACGGCUACGAGGCCUCCUCGGGCCCCAUCAACGAGACCACCGAGCUCAAGUCCCCGCGCGACCAGGACGGCCACGGCACGCACACCGCCGCCACCGCCGCGGGCUCGCCCGUGCCUGACGCCGGCCUCUUCGGCUACGCGCGCGGCGUCGCCCGUGGCAUGGCGCCCCGCGCACGCGUCGCGGCGUACAAGGUGUGCUGGACCGGCGGCUGCUUCAGCUCCGACAUCCUCGCGGCCGUCGACCGCGCCGUGUCGGACGGCGUCGAUGUGCUCUCCAUCUCCCUCGGCGGCGGGGCCUCCCCCUACUACCGCGACAGCCUGUCAAUUGCGUCGUUUGGGGCCAUGCAGAUGGGCGUGUUCAUCGCCUGCUCGGCCGGCAACGCCGGCCCGGACCCGAUAAGCCUGACGAACCUGUCGCCGUGGAUCACCACGGUGGGCGCGAGCACCAUGGACCGUGACUUCCCGGCAACAGUGACGUUCGGCAACGGCGCCAACAUCACAGGCGUCUCGCUUUACAAGGGCAGGCAGAACCUUUCGCCUCGGCAGCAGUACCCGGUGGUCUACAUGGGCGGCAACUCGAGCAUCCCGAACCCCAGGUCCAUGUGCCUCGAGGGGACACUGGAGCCCAACGCCGUGGCCGGAAAGAUCGUGAUAUGCGACCGCGGCAUCAGUCCUCGGGUGCAGAAGGGCCAGGUUGUCAAGGAAGCGGGUGGCAUCGGCAUGAUCCUCGCCAACACUGCAGCCAACGGCGAGGAGCUCGUCGCCGACAGCCACCUCCUGCCAGCCGUGGCCGUUGGGGAAUCUGAAGGCGUGGCGGCAAAGAAGUACACCAUGACGGCCCCAAAGCCGACGGCGACACUCAGCUUCGCCGGAACCAAGCUCGGGAUCCGGCCGUCGCCGGUGGUCGCCGCGUUCUCCUCCCGGGGGCCAAACUACCUGACUCUGGAGAUCCUCAAGCCGGACCUCAUCGCGCCCGGCGUGAACAUCCUGGCUGCAUGGAGCGGCGACGCCAGCCCGUCGAGCCUGGCCAGCGACCGCCGCCGGGUCGGGUUCAACAUCCUCUCAGGGACGUCCAUGUCCUGCCCGCACGUCGCCGGCGUGGCCGCGCUGCUCAAGGCAAGCCACCCGGACUGGAGCCCAGCGCAGAUCAAGUCGGCGCUGAUGACCACCGCGUACGUCCACGACAACACCUACCACGUGCUCAAGGACGCGGCGACUGGCGAUGCGUCCACGCCGUUCGAGCACGGGGCCGGCCACAUACACCCGGUGCGAGCGCUCAACCCAGGCCUGGUCUACGACAUUGGCCAGAACGAGUACCUGGAGUUCCUCUGCACGCAGAACCUGACGCCGACGCAGCUCAAGGGCUUCACCAAGAACUCCAACAUGACAUGCAAGGGCAGCUUCAGUUCGCCCGGCGACCUCAACUACCCGGCCAUCUCCGCCGUCUUCACCGAUCAGCCGUCCACCCCGCUGGCAGUGCACCGCACCGUGACAAACGUCGGUCCUCCGUCAUCGACGUACCAUGUCAAGGUCACAAAGUUCAAAGGCGCGGACGUCAUCGUCGAGCCGAGCACCCUGCACUUCAGCAGCGCAAACCAGAAGCUCGCAUACAAGGUUACAGUGAGGACCAAGGCCGCUCAGAAGACACCCGAGUACGGUGCCCUGUCAUGGAGCGACGGCGUUCACGUAGUCCGGAGCCCCCUGGUCCUCACAUGGCUGCCGCCAAUGUGAGCUUUUCCCCUAGUACUGUAUCGUUGUUCCGCAUUAGUCAGAGGGUCUGGGAGCAGAAGCAGCUGUGCCCUGGCCCCUUGGUAAGCGAGGUUGAUGAAUCAGUUGCGUAGCAGCAGCCAGCAGCACAGGAGCAGCACUUGCCGGAAGAAAGAUGUUGUGAAGCUCCAACUCAAAACAAGCUUUUAUUCCACAAAUGUAUUCACGCUUAUUCCAAAUGUUCAGUAAAUGGUUGAUUGUUUUUACAUAAUUUGUGUGUGUACAACAUAUUGGGGGUGACCCAGCGGUGCGGAAAACUCCAUCGCGGCGAAUU
rnacentral:lncRNA from 1 species